rnacentral:lncRNA from 1 species
GAUUAGGAAUAAGGUUAUUUGGGAGAAAGUAGGUGUGGCCCCUAUGAAAAAUAAUAUAGGUGAAGCGAGGCUUAGAUGGUUUGGGCAUGUGAGAAGGAGAAGCAUAGAUGCUCCAGCGAGGAGGUGUGAAUGGCUGGACUGACAGGUAGAAUAAGAGGUAGUGCGUGGCCUAAGAAGUAAUGGUGAUAGGUUAGCAGGAAGGACAUGGCACAACUUCAGCUUACCGAGGACAUGUCCCUUGAUAGGAGGGUAUGGAGAUUCAAGAUUAGGGUAGAAGGGUAAUAGGUUGUCGUGUGUUUUUCUUCUGAUUUGUUCCUAGUUUAUUAGGGCUAGAUGACUAGUACAUUGUCUUCGAUUCUUAGAAUGCCAGUAUUAGGGUUAUUUUAGUACUAUCUUCUGCUUCGGUUUUCUAGUACCCUGUCGUGUUACUACUUGUUGCUAUUACUUUUGCUAUUGUUGUUGCUAUUGCUACUGCUUUGUUCCAUUUAUUUUUCUUCGGUCCUUACAUUGUUGAUAUCAUUUUCCUGGCAUUGUUGUUGUUAUUUAGUUGUUCCUAUUCUUCCUCUCGAGCUAAGGGUCUUUCGCAAUAGCUUCUCUGCCCUCUUGGAUAGGGGUAAGGUCUGUGUACACAUUACCCUCCCCAAACCCCACUUGUAGGAUCUCACUGGGUUGUUGUUGUUGUUGUUAAUAUUAAAGAUCCAGUCAUACUGUGGAUUAAUUUGAAAGAUAGAUAUGACCACCUAAAGAUGAUCGUUCUUCCACAUGCACAUUAUGAUUGGACUCAUUUAAGGCUACAAGAUUUUAAAUCUAUUAGUGAGUAUAAUUCUAAUAUGUUCAGAAUUAUUUUUCAAUUGAAAUUAUGUGGUAAUAAUAUUAUUAAUCAUGAUAUAUUGGAGAAAACUUUCACCACUUUUCAUGCCUUAAAUAUGCUCCUGCAACAGCAGUAUCGAGACAUGGGAUUCAGAACGUAUUCUGAACUUAUCUCACAUCUUUUUGUAGCUGAGCAACAUAAUAGGCUAUUAAUGAAAACCCAUGAAAGUCGACCUAAUAGUUCUUGUCCAUUCCCUAAAGUGAAUGAUAUGAACUUCCACCAAGCUAAGCGCGGAAGAGGUCGUGGCCCCAGUCGUAGUCAUGGUCAUGGUCGGGGAAGAACUCUAAUCAUGAUAAUAAUAAUAAUAAUAAUAAUAAUACACCAAAGAACCCUCCUUAUCACCAGCAGUGAAAAAGGAAGGAACAAAAGAAUGAAGCGAUGCAAGCAACAAAUACGGUAAAUGCAUGUUAUAGAUGUGGAGGAAAAGGGCACUAGUCACAUACAUGUGAUACGCCAAAGUACCUGGUUGGGCUUUAUCAAGCCCCCCCUAAAGAAGACAAAGAAAAAUGUUGAAGCAAAUUUUAUUUUUGAAGAUAAUGUUGACUUCAUGCAUUUGAAUGUAGCUGAUUACUUUGCACUCUCAGAAGAAGAAACAGGAUGAAUAUGUCGAAAUUUAAAUAUUUUAUUUUUUGUUAUAUGUAUUAGAUAGUAAGAUUAUGUAAUUGUUGUACAUAAAUGGUUAUGCUUUGAUAAUGAUAUUUACUAUAAUAUUUAUUUUGUUUAUGUCAUUUUGAAGAAUAUAGAUAAUCCUCAAAUUAUGUUAGGAUCAAAGACCAAUCAUGAAGAUAUUUGUGUAAUUGGUAGUGGAACAACUCAUGCCAUAUUCAAAGACAGAAAUAUUUUUCUAAUUUGUAUAAAGAAAAAGCUAAUAUUUAUAAAAUUUAUGGUAAUAUAAGUUUGAUUAAAGGCUCCGGAGGAGCCACUAUUUUCUGUCAAAGGGAACAAAACUUAUUAUAGAUAAUGCAUUAUUUUCCUCCAGGUCCUGAAGUAACUUGUUGAGUUUUAUAGAUAUCCACCAAGAUAGGUAUUAUACUGAGACAAUAGAUGAAAUGAAUAUGGAAAAUCUUUGUAUUACAAAGCAUAUUUCAGGCAAGAAGUGCAUUGUAGAAAAGUUACUAACUUUACCUUCUAUCUUAUACUAUUCAAAGAUUAGUAUAGUUGAAGAACACUCUAUCAUAAACCAGAAGUUUACUUAUUCAAAUACUUUUUGUACUUUAGCACAGCCGUUUGGGUCAUCCUGGAUUAAUAAUGAUGAGACGAAUUACAGAAAAGUGGAGUGGGCAUCCAUUAAAGAAUCUGAAGAUUCUUACAAAUGAUGAAUUUUCUUUUGAUGCUUGUUAUCAAGCAAAAAUGAUCACUAGAUCAUCACCAAUGAAGGUUAGGAUUGAAUCCCUUGCCUUUUUAGAGUAUAUACAUGUGGAUAUAUGUGGACCUAUUCACCCACCAAGUGGGUUGUUUAGAUAUUUUAUGGUCCUAAUAAAUGCAUCUUCAAGAUGGUCUCAUGUUUGCCUACUAUCAUCUUGCAACAUGGCAUUUACAAAUCUAUUAGCCCAAAUAAUUCGAUUAAGGACAUUAUUUCCAUAUUAUCCUACAAAGGCUAUUUUCCUUGAUAAUGCUGGAGAAUUUUCAUCUCAAGCUUUUGAUGAUUAUUGUCUAUCACUUGGGAUAAAGGUUUAACACUAUGUAGCUUAUGUUCAUACUCAAAAUGGUCUUGCAAAGUUAUAUGUUAAAAGCUUGAAAUUGAUAGCAAGACCACUACUUAUGAAAAUAAAAUUGCACACUACUGUUUGGGCCCAUGUUAUCUUGCAUGCAACAUCACUUAUCUAUCUCAGACCGACACAUUAUAAUAAAUAUUCUCCAUCAUAAUUAGUUUUUGUUCAUGAACCAAAUAUUGCUCAUCUACGAAUUUGUAGAUGUGUUGUAUAUGUGCCAUUAACAUCACCAUAGCGCAGUAAGAUAGGCCCCCAUAGAAGGUUAGGAAUAUAUUUUGGGUUUGAAUCACCCUCUAUUAUUCGCUAUCUUGAACCAUUGACGAGAAAUUUAUUUAUUGCUCGAUCUGCAGAUUGUCAGUUGAUGAAAUAUAUUUUCCACAAUUAGGGGGAGAGAAAAAGGAAAUCAAAAGACAAAUUAUGUAGACAGUUUCAUCAUUAUCUUAUUUUGAUCCAUGUACCCCUAUAUGCAAUCAGGAUUCUAAGGAUCGAAAUAAUAGAAAAAGACAAAUGAUCAAAAAUAUACUAUGAAGGGAUCUCCUGAAGAUUCCCAAGAUCUGGUUAGUUUUGAUAUUCCUAAAUAAAUCAAUGAACCCGAGACUCAAGUAAGCGAGGAACUUUUAAUAAGUUUUAUUGGUGAUGGGAUUAAUUUAAAUCGAUCUGAAAUAGUGGUGGAUAAUAUUUUUUGCAUAUAAUGUUGCACUUAACAUUAUGCAAGAUAGUAAGGAUCUUGAACUCUGAUCUAUCGAAGAAUGUCGACAAAGAUCUAAUUGGCCAAAAUGGCAAGAGGCAAUUCAAUCAUAAUUGAGGUCACUCUAUAUAAGGAAUGUCUUUGGUCCUCUAGUCUAAACACAUGUUGGUAUAAAACCAAUUGGUUGUAAAUGGGUUUUUGUGCGAAAAAUGAAUGAUAAAAAUAAAGUUGAAAGAUAAAAGGCUCACCUUGUCUCACAAGGAUUCUCACAAUGACCUGGGGUCGAUUAUGAAGAAAUAUAUUUACCCGUUAUGGAUGUCAUAACAUUUCGACAUCUCAUCAGUUUAACCCUAUGCGAAAGGCUUGAAAUACAUCUAAUGGAUGUGGUUACAUCUUUUCUGUACGAUUCACUUGAUAAUGAAAUUUACAUAAAAAUUCCUAAAGAAUUUAAAAUGCCUUAAGCAUAUCCAAAAUCUCGGGAAAUACAUUUAGUCAGACUACAAAGAUCUUUGUACGGUUUAAAGCAAUCUGGAUGCAUGUGGUAUAAUCACCUCAUUGAAUAUUUGUUGAAGGAGGAUUACAUAAAUGAUGUUAUUUGUCUGUGUAUUUUUAUAAAGAAAAUGGCUUCCGAAUUUGUUAUACUUGUUAUUUAUGUUGAUGACAUAAAUCUUGUUGGAACUCCAGAAGAGCUCCAAAAGGAAAUUGAACAUCUUAAGAAAAUAUUUGAGAUGAAAGAUCUUGAAAAUACAAAAUUUUGUUUUGGUUUGCAAAUUAAACAUUUAGCAUACGGAUUUUUAUUCAUCAUUCUACCUAUACAGAAAGGGUCUUAAAAUGUUUUACAUAGACAAAGCACACCCACUGAGUACACCAAUAGUUGUUCGAUCAUUUGAAGUGAAUAAACAUUUGUUCCAACCUCCAGUAAAGGAUGAUGAACUCCUUGCUCGUGAAAUACCCUAUCUCAGAGCAAUUGAUGCACUUAUGUAUCUUGAUAAUACUACAAGCCUUGACAUAACAUUUUCUGUUAAUUUACUAGCAAGAUAUAUCUCUUCUCCUACACGGAGGCAUUGGAAUGGGAUAAUGCAUAUAUUGCGAUAUUUAAAGGGAACUCUUGAUAUGGGUUUAUUUUAUGUUAACAAAGGUAGUAAAGAUCUUGUUGGUUAUGCAGAUGCAUGUUAUUUAUUUGAUCCCCAUAAAGCUCGAUCUCAAACCGGGUACGUGUUUAUAUGUGGAAGUAUUUCCAUAUCAUGGCGCUCCACAAAGCAAUCUAUUGUUGCUACUUCUUCUUCCCCAAAUCAUGCUGAGAUAAUAGCUAUUCAUAAAGCAAGUAGGGAAUGCGUAUGGUUGAGAUCAAUAAUUUAUUCUAUUCGAGAAAAAUGUGAUUUGAAAUGUGAUAAAAGACCCACAACGUUGUACGAAGACAAUGUUGCACGCAUAGCUCAAUUGAAGGGAGGAUUUAUAAAAGGAGAUAGAACGAAGCACAUUUUACCAAAAUUAUUCUACACAUGUGAUCUUUAGAAAAACGGUGAUAUUGAUGUGCAACAAAUCCGUUCAAGUUCUGGUAGAUUUAUUCACUAAAUCUUUGCCAACUUCAACUUUUGAGAAGAUGGUACAUAAGAUUGGAAUGCGGAGACUCAAAUAUUUGAAACAAUGUUUUCAUCAUGAGAGUAAAAUAUGCGAUGUAUUCUUUUUUCCCUUAUUAAUGUUUUUCCAACAGGAUUUUCCUUAUAAUGCUUUUAAUGAGGCAGCUAGCAAUGUGUAUUACUAAUGUGUAUACUCUUUUUCCUUCACUAAAAUUUUUUUCCUACGGAGUUUUUCCUAGUAAGGUUUUAAUGAGACACAUUAUCUUUUAAUGAACAUCCAAGGGGAAUGUUAUAAAUGUAUUAUAUUCUGGAUGUUUAUUUAGUACUCCAUUGUAAAUAAGCUUCCUGAAGAAGGUUAUCCAUGUGGGGCUCUAUCGUAAAUGUAUUUAUUUAUUUAGUACUCUAUUGAAAAUAAGCCUCCUGAAGAAGCUUAUCAUUUCGAUACUUCGUUAUGGAUAAAUAUUACCCUGGUAGAAUUUCAUCUAUAUCUGAUACAAUAACAGCUUACACGAAACUUACAUAGCAGUUUGCAGUAUGAGCUUACAAGCGACUUACACAGUAGCUUGUAGUAGCAACUUACAAGCAACUUACAUAGAAGCUUGUAGUAGUAGCCUACGCAACAACAUUUAGAGUAGCUUCAUUUGUUCUAUAAAAAGAGGAGAUUUCAAUUUAUUAUGUACAUCAGUUUGAAGUUGAAUAAUAUAUCAAUCUCUCUCUAUACUUGUCUUCGAUUUACUUACUUUAUAGUCUUUAUUUAUAACAUUUAGCCAAAUAUUGCUUGAAACGUUUUCUUAUUUUUAAAUAUUGGAGCGAGGAUGAGUCUGUGAAGAGCACGCCAUAGUUAUCAAAAGGAGAAUGUCUGGCACUUAGAUGGUACAAGUUGAUUAAACCAUUCAAUUCAAUGUCACUACCAAACUUGAAACGGAAAAACGAAUACCAAUUUUUUUAAACAGAAAGCCUAACUUGAAACUUGUUUUAAAUGAAAAAAAAGAAAAUAAAAUCCUGAAUCUAGUAAUGUUGCCUAUUCAUUCACCUAGUCAUCAACUUGGGCCUUGAGGAGCAAAAAAUACCAUAAAAAUAGCAUGGUAUAGCCAGUUUUCGGAUUGGUCAUUCAAAAAUAGUCAGUGUUUACGAAGUCAAUGAAAAAUAGCCAUUAUUUUGCUGCAACAGAGACCGAUUCAACAUAAUAUACUGGAGUUCGGUGCACCUGUGUAUGAACUCCAGCAUAUUAUGCUCGACCGAAAUACUUUGCUGACUCCAGUAUAUUAUACUGGACAAUUAUACUUGCUAGAACUCCAGUAUAUUAUACUGGAGUUCUAGUGUACUUAUGCUGGAAUUCCAUCAUAUUAUGCUGGAGUUCUAGCAUACUUANNNNNNNNNNNNNNNNNNNNNNNNNNNNNNNNNNNNNNNNNNNNNNNNNNNNNNNNNNNNNNNNNNNNNNNNNNNNNNNNNNNNNNNNNNNNNNNNNNNNNNNNNNNNNNNNNNNNNNNNNNNNNNNNNNNNNNNNNNNNNNNNNNNNNNNNNNNNNNNNNNNNNNNNNNNNNNNNNNNNNNNNNNNNNNNNNNNNNNNNNNNNNNNNNNNNNNNNNNNNNNNNNNNNNNNNNNNNNNNNNNNNNNNNNNNNNNNNNNNNNNNNNNNNNNNNNNNNNNNNNNNNNNNNNNNNNNNNNNNNNNNNNNNNNNNNNNNNNNNNNNNNNNNNNNNNNNNNNNNNNNNNNNNNNNNNNNNNNNNNNNNNNNNNNNNNNNNNNNNNNNNNNNNNNNNNNNNNNNNNNNNNNNNNNNNNNNNNNNNNNNNNNNNNNNNNNNNNNNNNNNNNNNNNNNNNNNNNNNNNNNNNNNNNNNNNNNNNNNNNNNNNNNNNNNNNNNNNNNNNNNNNNNNNNNNNNNNNNNNNNNNNNNNNNNNNNNNNNNNNNNNNNNNNNNNNNNNNNNNNNNNNNNNNNNNNNNNNNNNNNNNNNNNNNNNNNNNNNNNNNNNNNNNNNNNNNNNNNNNNNNNNNNNNNNNNNNNNNNNNNNNNNNNNNNNNNNNNNNNNNNNNNNNNNNNNNNNNNNNNNNNNNNNNNNNNNNNNNNNNNNNNNNNNNNNNNNNNNNNNNNNNNNNNNNNNNNNNNNNNNNNNNNNNNNNNNNNNNNNNNNNNNNNNNNNNNNNNNNNNNNNNNNNNNNNNNNNNNNNNNNNNNNNNNNNNNNNNNNNNNNNNNNNNNNNNNNNNNNNNNNNNNNNNNNNNNNNNNNNNNNNNNNNNNNNNNNNNNNNNNNNNNNNNNNNNNNNNNNNNNNNNNNNNNNNNNNNUAUGUAUCAAAACCCCUAAAGUGUUGGUUGUUUAAAGCCCACUUUUCCGAUGAGCAUUUGCAUCUAUACUCGCUUUUUGUGUCACAUUUUAUCUUGUGCCCGCUUUGCAAAAAAAAAUUGUAAGUGUACCUGCUUUUUCGCAUAACUUCAGCAUACGGGGCUGAAGUAGCAAAAACAAUCACGCAAAACUUCAGCAUUCUAAUAGUCGGGCCUGAAGUUCAGCUCUAGAGCUGAAGUUUUUUUACCACCUAUUAAUAUUACAUACUAGAGCUGAAGUUCCCAUUUACAACACACUAUUUUUACCACCUAUUAAUAUUACAUACUAGAGCUGAAGUUUUUUUUACCACCUAUUAAUAUUACAUACAGUUGCUCGUCUUGUAUUAGCUAGGCAGGUAUAAAUAUUUUUAAAUUAAUUAAAAGCAUGACAGGCACAAGAAAAAAACAAAGGCCAGAGAGGGAUAUAUACAUAUAUCAUAUGAGGGAUUGGAUUAGUGGGUAGAAAGCAGAGGAGAAAGCUAGAGCAGUCAUUCCAAUUCUCGAAGGGAAAAAAGAAAAGCUAAAAGAUAAAGUCUUUGCUGAUCUUUUUAAAGCUUUGCAACUCAUGGUGAUAAUUUAGUAUGAGAACAUUACAUGAAUAGUAACAAAUAGACAUUAUUUAUCAACGACAAGCCGCUAAGUUAUGCUAGCAAAAAUAAUCGGAAAUAUUUCGCAUAAGAACAACUAGGAUCCCUACUUUUCAAUUUAUAGCUCAUAUUUCAAUUUACAAUUAACUAGCCCAAAAAUAAUAGGCUAAGAUUCAACAUCCAACUCCAACAGGUUCUCCAAAUUACUAUUUAAUUUUUAAAAAAGAUUGCUCAAGCUUUUAAAUUAAUUUUUGAAUCAAUAACUGUAACCCAAAUAUUAGUUCAACAAACCAAAUCCCUUUAGAUGGUGAAAAUUAGAUUUUUAACAAGCUUAACUAUGCGGGUUUAGAUUCUGAAUUUAAUUUUAAAAAUUUGGAGUGGGUAUUAUCUAGAAUUGUUGGAAAUAGUAUAAGGAGGUUGUAUAUAAAAUUUGAAGUCAUCUAAUGGAGAUUUGGACUGAUUUUGAACAAGAAUUGCAACUGAAAAUCGUAGAAGAAGUUCAUCUACAGACGCUUGUAUAAAGGUGUAUAAUAGUGUAUAAGAUGUGAUUAUACACUCAUAUACACUAUUAUACAAGAUUCUGCAUAAUUAUACAAAAAACUGACUUCGUCUUCUUCUUUGCGUUUUUUCUGAAAUUUAACUCAAAUCUUGCCCAAAUCUACUCUAAAGCACUUCCAAUUUAAAGUUUGAACUCCUUUUGAUAUUUUCAAUCAAUUGGAACAACACUCAAUCAAAACAACUAACAAACUUAAAAAAUCUUAUUUUUGAAAGUCAAGCUUUGGAUGGCCUUCAAUAGUGGAAUGUUGAAUCUUCAAUUUUCUUAUCAAUGAUAUACAACAACUCUUUUAACCAACCCCUCUUACUAGAUUGAGAAAAGGCGAUCCUGAUACGAUCUUUCUAAGUGAAGUAAGUAUUUGUUGAAAAAUAGAAUAACAUUCAUGCUUUUUCUCACGGAUCUGAAGCUUAGCCCGGUGACUAGGAAAUGGGUUUGCCCUUGAAUUGAAGUGAUGAGGUUGGAAAGGUGGUUGAAUUUUGCGAGCUGUUCCAACCACUAUUGGAUGUGAUUCCAAGAGCCGAACGAGAAUGAAAAAAACCUAGGUAAAAAAAGGUUUUCCAAUUGGUAUAAUUGAAAUUUGUUGAAAUGAUAUAGAUAAGGCAAUAAAAAAAUUUGAGGAAGAUUGAAGGUGGGCUGAACUAGUUUAGAGUCAAAAUUCGUAGUGAAUCGAGUUCAAUAUGUUUUUACAAUAUCUUUAUCUAGCAUGUAUCUCACACAUAUGUAUACAUGAAUAUACAUGAGAUUCACAUUUGAUCCAUAUGGGAUAUGCAAGUGAUAUACAAUGUGAUACAUAUAUCAUCUUUUUUCAUGUUCAUCUUUUACUUUGAAUUUUCAAUUCAAACCUCCUCAAACUCCACCAUAUCAUUUCAAAAUUGAGAUUCGAACUUCUUAGGAUGUUUCCAAUGUAAUUCCAUUCGAAACAAAUUCAAUGUUCUUCGAUGGAUUUUAAUAGAAUUUUAUCAAAAGAAGGAGAACAAACUAGAAAGGAAAGAAGAAGAAAACUAAGACGAAGGGUAGGAAAAAGAAUAACCUAUAUUUUGUAAGUAUAGUAAUAUAGGAAACUAAUAAACCAUUGCCCAAUGGCCUAUUAAGAAUAAAGAAAAUAAUUUUUGACUGGUUCAAACUUGAAUAAUUGAUUCAAUCGUCAAAACUUAUCCAGAAGACUUGGUUGAAUGUCACGAUCCGGAAUUCCUACUCUCGAAAUCGUAAUGGCACCUAAUAUUUCACUUGCCAGGAAAGCCAACAUUAGAUAUAGUUAUUAACUAUUUUUAACAAUUCAAGCCGAAUGAAGACCAAUAAGCCGAAUAAACUGAAAUAAAGUAAAUAAACUAAUAAACGGCGAUAUCCAAAUACAACGCCAGAACUAGUGUCACGAAUACACGAGCAUCUAGAGUACUACAAAUAAUAGUCUUACUAAAAGCAGAAUUGUAUGAAUCGAAAUAAACAGCUAAGGUAAUGUGGAAGGGGAGUUCAAGGCUGCUAACGUUGUGCAGUUGUACCUUAAGUCUCAGUCGAGCACUGGAUCCGAGCAAAUCUACUGACCGCCACUAGGACCAACUCCAAAAUCUCGCUCCGCAAUCAAAUCAAAGCUCAACCGGGGCCCUUCCUCUAAAACUCGCCUCCAAAUCAAUCGACUUAAUAUCAAUAAUAAUGCUAGGGAAAUGAAUUACAGUAGAUUAAGCUAAUAUCUUUAUACCUUUCUCAAAAGUUAACAAAAAUCAACCCGAGGCCCGCGGUCAAAACCUGGGUUCAAUGGUUGAUUGCGACUACUCAUGACCCUACGAGUUCAUACAUGUGAUUAAUCUUUAAAUUCAAGUCCAAAUCGACCCUCAAAACUCAAUUUCUUAUUUUUCAAAAAAUUGACAAGGUUUCACAAUUUUUCACUUUGAUUCACAUGAUUUAAUGUUAAAAUCUAAAAUAAAUUGAUGGAAUAUGAUUAGAAAUAGGUUACAAUUACUCACCAAAAGCUUGUAGAUGAAACUCCCUCUUCAAAAUUGCCAUCUACCGAGCCUAUGGUUCCAAAAUAUGAAAAUGAGGCUAAAAAUUCCGUCCAUCAGCUUUUGUCUAGUUGCAAAUACGACCUUGCGAACCCCGCAAAUGCGAAGAAGUCAUCGCAAAAGCUAACUCACCGCAUCUCUAUUGUCAUCACAAUUGUGAUGACUAGUUCGCAAAUACGAACAUUGGAACUUCGCAAAAGCGAUCAAAUGAUCGCAAAUGCGAUCUCUGCUGUCCCCAGGCCACCUUCGCAUUUGCAAAUAAAAUGUUUGCAAAUGCAACCAUUACAGACUAGGCCAAACAUCGCAAAUGCGAUCCUCCACCUCACAAUUGCGAGGUAUGCAGACUACACCAGUGAUCGGCUACAACCCUACACCACUAUAUAACGGCAAAGAUUGAUCGAUGCAACUUUUACCCGAAAGGUCGGGAUCAAUAUCCACAAGGAGCUAAUAUUGGUUGGGAGUUGGGUUUCUGUCUAAUCUAGCUAUGCGUGUUGCUCUUAAUUGCACUUCUAACCAUAUUUGGAUUUGUUUCUAUUCUACUUGUAAUACUACUGAUUGCUGAAAAUAGUCUAAGUACAAUAUUUUUGUAAGAGUUUUCUCAAUUGAUAAAAAGCACUAGGGAAAUUACUUACACCUAGGUGAGUAUCUAAUGGGAUCUAAAAUAUAGGACAAGCUUGUUAUAUUUGGGGUCGUGAAAUAACCUUUGCACAUAAUUACCAACUCUAUACCUCUCGGUAGUUUGAGUGACAUUGCCCUAAUUGGCUUUCUCAAGCCCAAUUGGGUGUUCAAACAAUAGAAGCAAAAUUGGCUCAAGUCGUGUAUUACUGUCUCUAGGUUUAACCCUUUAAUUGGGGUUAUCAAUCUCUUGAAUGCACCCCAAUUCCUUGUUAGCAUGAAUUUCCUAAACUUAAUCCCUCUUUCUCAAGAAGAGUCUAGUCAAAAAGGCAUGUCAGUGUUUGCAACCACCAAUUCUACAAUUAAAGCAUGAAGCAAGCUAAAUAUCACUAAUCCAUAAAUAAUUAAUCCCUAAAAUUGAAGACCCAUUAAAUACCCACACUAGGGUUAGAUCACAACCCUAUCUAAUGGGUUUAGCUACUAAUAAUAAAGGUAAAAAUUAAGGAUAGAGAUGAAAUAUAAACCAUAAAAGUUGAUUAUAAGAAUAAAAUCUAAGAUUAAUAGCUAAAGUUGCUUUAAAAUUACUCUAAGUGGUAAAAUACGGCUAUUCAUAAGCUCCUCCCAAUAAAAGAUAACCUAAAAAUAUGAAAAAUAUCUAUUAUACACAGCUGAAAUUACUGGAAAAAAAUACUCCCAUGGAGGUUUCGCUGUUAGCGAAAUAAUGGGUGACUCAGCGCAUUGACUUUUGCAGCCGUGCAAAAGCAAGCGCAGACUGCGUUUCUUCUCUUUUGUGCUUGGUCUGGACUUGAUUCCGUGGGGAGCGUAAAAGCUACCGCCUCAGUGUUAGCAUCAACGGCGGCCGCGCAAUUUGGACGCGGACUGCGCUCCUCAGAUAGGCUCAUUUUGCAGGGUUUCUGAACUUUGAUUGACGCUCUCAGCGGAAUUUGAACCGCGGCCGCGUCAGGUAUUCCGCAGUCGUGCUAUUUCAUCGCGAUCAGCGGUCCCUGUCUGCAUCCAAAACACCUUUUCUGAACCUCAAUUCUGCGGACCGUGUAAUUGUGGCCGCCUCAGCGGUGGAACUUCGGCCGCUCUUUUCCUUCGUGGUCAGCACUUUUAUCUUAGCUUUGAACUUAUGCAGAUUUAACUCCUCUAUGAGCUGGUUAUGACUUUUUUUGCCUCAUUUUGACCAAACCCUGUAGACAAGCACAAUAAGUCAAUUUUUGGGAAAUUUCACACAUUUUUUAUCCAAAACUUAAGCAAAAGAGAGCAUAAGAUAGGCUAGAAUCCAUAGUUAUCAACUCCCUCAAACUUAAGGUUUUGCUUGUCCUCAAGUAAAUAAAGUAAUUUCCACCUCCACAAUAUAAAAGAAAGGAAAAUUUCAGCUGCUCAAAGGUGAUUUCAUCAAGCAUCAAUUGGGAAUAACAAUCACCCUCAACACAAAUACAUUAUCAACAAUACACAACCUUUUUAGCACCAUGGCUCUAAUGCGACACAAGAGCAUCAAGGGUUGACUUAACUCAUCAAGGAAGCUCAUUCUACUACGUAGGUCAUUGUGGAACCCAAACUCUUUCUCCUCCACUCUCCAUAAGCAAAAUCUUACUUAAGAAUUGAAGCACUCAAAACAAGGAUUGUGAAAAAGCACACUCGUCUCUCACAAGGGAAUGUCAUAAGUCCGGCUAUAAGUACCAUAAGUUUUCCCCUUAUGUGAAUUACCACUAGUGUAAGCUCACUCAACUAAAAAUCAUAUAGGGCUUUUGCGGGAAUGUAAUGAAGAAUUUUGGUUAAAAAAAAGGAUAUAUUGGUCUAUGAAGGUUUCAUCUUUCCUUAAGCACUUCAUUUUCUCAUUUCGGCGCACACUUUCUUGACUCUUUGAGUCAUUUUCUUCUUCCUUAGGGGACUAGAGAGAUACAUUGUCAUUCUAUAUUGUUCAUGACAAUCAUUUUUCUCCUUUCUAAUCAUUCCAAGCCUUUCAUCAUUGCUUUUAUUGAAUUACUUCAUUUUUCUAUAUUGUUCACUUUCUUUUUGACUUUUUGGCUUUUCUUUCUUUCUCUUUUUGCCUUUCCUUUUCUUCAUUUUGCACAUUUUAUCACUUUUGCAUUCCUUGUCUCUUACCCCCAAACUUAUGCUUUUGUCAAUUGUGCUAAGGAAAGAUCGGGUGCCAAGAGAGGAUCAUUUUAGAACGGAUAAAGGCUUGUAUCAUAGUUAUUGAAAGAAAAAGGGAUAUGGCUCAAUGGGGUUGACUAGGGAUAUCACUUUUUGUGGACUAUGGAUGCUUUCAAGUUCCAAUUUGGAUCAAGGAGAGCCUAUAAUCAUUUUUCAAGUCGAGGUACACUUAGAAUUUUGCCUAGACAAACAUUCAGGGAAAGUUCUAGACUUAUUGACACGUGACAUGGACUUGCAAAUCAAUACCUUACCUUACAAGCUGUUGGAUUGCUAAAGGGAACAGAGUCAAGGGCCCACAACAACCCUAGCUAAGAUUGAGCAAUAUAAAUGGCUCCUAAAAAUCACUUGAUGAUUGUUUAGUCAAUACAAGAGUCUAAAGGUCACAACUAUCACCAUCUUUUGCACAUCAAUUUGUUUCUAACUAUAAGGUCAAAGGUAAAUGUGUUAGGCCCAAGUGAAGCUUUGCCUGAGACACUUUUAUUCAUUACUACUAUUUACACAAAAAUAUGAAAAAACGGACUCAAACCUUUAAGAAGGUUGUCAUGCCAUCCAUCAUCAAGAAGAGCCACUCGGUUCACACAAAUUUCACCUUUGGAAAGAACUGUGGAAUUAAGAAAACCAAAGACUUAUUGAUCAUGAAAACUUGUAAAAGUAAGAGGCUACAAAUUGAAAAAGAAACUACUGAAUGAAAUAAGAAGCUACGCUAUUAAGGAAAAUUACAAAAGAAGUUAUAAAGUAAAAUACGGAAAGCAAACUGAAUAUGUACAAUAGGGGAUUGGGACGAAUAUACAUAAAAGAGGAAUGAAUAUAUACAUGGAUAGGUAAUAGAAAGGUAACUUUAUAUACAUACCAAAAGUACGAUAAGUAAAAAAAAUAAAGAAAAGAAAUAGUAUCAAGGUUAUUACAAACCAACAUCCAAAUCAUCAUCGAAAACAAAAUAAGGCCACCCCCCCAAAUAAAAAUUAGCAUUGUCCUCAAUGCUAUCAACAUAAGUAGAAUAGGGGAAGGGUAGAGAGUAAAGAAGAAACUCCCUAUGAUGCCUCUAUCUGCAUGGGGUCACUGGUUGGGUCCUGUGGCUGGCCUGAGUCACCUCCCUCGGGGUCCUCCAGCUCAAUCUCCAGAUCCUCAGUCCGGGGGAUUACCCCUCUCCUCAUGGGCUCUCUAUUAGCCUCCUACUCUGAUGCCUGUGCUACCUGAGCUGUUGGAACUGGCUCCUCCAAGAAUAGGUCCAAUGGGAUGUCUCCAGCUGAACUAAUAUUUUCAACCUCCUUCCUCAGCAGCUUUAUUGACUCCUUUGAGGCAUGAGUCUUCUUCAUUUUCUUCGUUUGUUUGCACAUGUCCUUAAUUACUUUUCCUUGUGCCUCCAAAGCAUCCUUGAUAAGCUUCUGGUUGUCUAGGAGCUUCUUCCGAUUGUCCAGAAGCUCCUUUAGAGAUUUCUCCACUGAAGUGGGCACCUGAGGCUGAGCUGGAAUUGACUGAGCUGCCACUGCGCUGGAUAUGAUAGACAGCUUAGAUGUAGGUUCCUGCAUCCAAUGGUUGAUGCUGGAAAGAGUCAGGUUAACCCUCAGGGCAGUGAGAGGGUAUGCUGAUGAAGAAGGCACCGAAGAAGGCAUAGAAGUAGAUGGUUCGGAGGGAGGAUGUGGCAUGGCAGUGGAAGUCUCAGAACCAGUGGGCUCCACCCCUAGCUCUUCAGACUGGCCAGUGAAAGUGGUGGCUAUGCCCUUGGACUUGGGGUUGUCCGGACCUUGAAGGUUGUACCAGAAAAAUGGCCUCUUCGGUUUCACUUUUGUGUCAAAGUCCCUACCCUCCACUUUCUGAUCCUCUAGGUACAUGGUGAGGAAGUUCGGGAAAGGAUAUGAGCUCCUAUUCUUGUUAAUCACUCUGGUGAUCACCUUGGCCAUAAUAUUCCCGACGUUGAUCGGGAACCCCGCCAUGAUAGCCCCCACAAUAAUAGCCCGGGAGACCGGCAUAUCACUGUCAUGCAUAGUAGGGUAUAACCGGCUACACACAAAAGUUUUCCACCCUUUCGCCUCGAAGCUCAAAGUGUUCUUGUAGAUCGGGACCCCAGGUGUCAGCCAAGCUGGAGUAGUCCCCUGAAGAGAAAUCACUGAUGCAAGCCACGUGUGGGCUAACUCAUCCAUAGCCACCUUCUCCAAAUACAAGGACUCAUCCACGUCAUUGAACCCAGCAUAGUCAUUCAACGUCUUGCCAUCAAAUCUAAUCUUCUGGUUCCGCACCUUGGUUACAUAGGUGCCCUUUUUGAUGUGGGCUACGUUGGCAUAGAACUCUUUGACUAAAUGUUCAUUGGCCUCCAGCAGCUUGCUUGUGAAGAAUUUCCACCCCACUCUUUCAUAAAAUUGCCUCUUCACAUUGGGUUUGUAGGGUAGAAGAUCCCUUUCUAUGAAUUGCCUCUCGAUGGUGAGAGACCUUUGAGGCCACCACUCCCGAAACUUGUGGUAUGCUUUAUCACUCACGAACCGUUCUUGCCAUACCACGGGGUUCCUUAUUCUCUCCAACCCCUCACUUGGGUGUCACCCCUUCUCCCAUCAUUCGGUAUCUCAGCAUCAACAUCAGUAUCAAUAGAAGCAGGAGCAGCUGGUGAAGCCGAAGUUGCAGCAUGUGGGGAAGAUAAUCUCAAUGCCGCACUACCGCCCUCUUAGUCAUCAGAAGACUCAGUAGAGGAGGUGGGUACAUCCACCAAUCGGUACCUCUCCGAGAUAUCUGGGACAUGAGUGGGUACAGAAUCACCUUCCGAAACCUCUCGGGAAGCGACGUACUCACUUGUGUCCGAGUGUUCUGCUGCUCUAUCCGCAACUUUUAUGGUCUUUUGCGUCUUCCCAAUGGAUUAUUGUACUGCUAAGGGUAACUUGAUCUUCCCUCGUUCCCUUCCUCGGGAGGACUCUGCUUUACCUUUUUUGUUUAUCACUCCCACCUCCAGAUUUGAUCAAUGUCUGCAUACACAAUCAGUGAAAUCUCAGUAGUAUUGUUGUUAAAAUAAUCAUUAAAGAAAAGCAGAUGAAAUGUUGACAAUGUUCCAAAAGUAGAGGUCCGCUAAUAGCAGAAAAAGGGCGCUACUACAGAAGUUGAAACACUGUCCGCGGAAAAAUGAACGCGGCUGCGGACUCAACUAAGCAAGACUUUGAACUCAAAAUCCGUGGCCCGUGAAAAAAGAUUUGUGGCCACGUAAAAUAGGUCAUUGACCGCAGAAGACAAGCCAUUUUUAACUCAGUUCAUUGUAUGAACGCUGACCGCGGAAUUUAAAAAAGAAACAGACUACCUAGGGUUUUUACUUUUUUUAGUCAUUAUAGGUAUCAUGGACACCACUAACCCAUACUAUGAAUCAACUAAUUAACCCUAACUAAUUUAGCAUCAACCAAUUAACAACUAAUUAACCCUAACUAUAAAGAAAUAUUAAACUAAAGAUGAAAGAAAAGAAAGGAAGAAAAUUAACACAAGAAAUCGAGCAUACCAGUUGUGAGAUGUGCAGUAAAAGAUUUACUCUUGAUUAAUUGAUAUUGAAAGACCCAAUAUGAGGAUGAACUAUGCUUUUAGGUACAAUGGGAAACAAGGGUGCGAAAAGGGUAAAAGGGCUAAUGACCUUCUAUUUAUACUAAAAAGUACAGGGACCCAAAAACUUUACCUGGCGUGGCCGCGGAAUUCCAUCGUGGUCUGUGCUUUUACCUUUUCGAUCGGAGGGCUGUUAACUAGGAGGAACCGCUGAGAGCGGAAAAGCGGGCGCGGCCGCGAAACAAGGUCCGCUGAUCGCAAAAAAGCCACCGCGGACGCUAUUCAAACUUCAGAGAGGUCACAUUUUGGACUUUUCAAUUCUGCGUCCGCAAACAAAUCACACUCCCGUGAAAAGCUUCAGCUGACCGCGGAAUUUUGAGCGCGGUUAGUGGUCUAAUUACAUACUUAGCCAAAUUUUUCCAGUGUUAGUCCUGCACUGCAUCAAAAAUUCCUACACUAAUCUAACAACCAGUUAGUCCAAAACAAAUCCUACAUGAAGAAGAAAAUGAAAAAGAAGAAAAUGAAAAACACAUGGGUUGCCUCCCAAGAAGCGCCUGAUUUAACGUCGCGGCACGAUGUAUGUUACCAUCAUCAUUUGAAAUUGAUCAAGGCCACCAUGUGGUUGUCAUCAAAUUUUCCCAGAUAGUGUUUGACUCGGUGCCCAUUAACUCUGAAAACUUCUCCAUUUUUAUUCUUCAAAUCAAAUACACCAAAACAGAGUUACAUGCACCACUUCAACAAGGCCACUCCAUUUUGACUUGAGCUUUCUCGGAACCGAGAGUUAAAUAAGAGAACCAAGUCACCCUCCUUGAAUUACUUGCUCUGGGAAUAUUUGUCAUGUAAGUACUACAUCUUGUCCUUAUACAAGGACGAGCUAGAAUGGGCAUGAAAUCGGAACUCAUCAAGUUCAUUGAGUUGCUCUACCCGGAGAUUUGCUGCAAUAUCCCACUCAAGAUUUAACCGCUUCAAAGCCCACAUGGCCUUAUAUUCUAACUCAAUCAGAUAAUGGAACACUUUUCCAAAUACCAACCGGUAAGGAGAUAUACCAAUUGGAGUCUUGUAAGCAGUCCUAUAAGCCCACAAAGCAUCAUCUAGUUUCUUUGACCAGUCAGUCCUAUUUGCAUUGACAGUUUUUGGAAAUAUACUCUUUAUCUCCAUGUUGGAGACCCCAACUUGUCCACUAGCCUAAGGAUAAUAAGGGGCUGAUACCUUGUGAUUGACCCCAUACUUUGCAAGCAAAGUGUCAAAUGCCCUAUUGCAGAAAUGAGAACCUUCAUCACUGAUAAUUGCCCGAGGAGUGCCAAACUAUGUGAAGAUAUUUUUCUUGAGAAACACCAUCACACUAUAGGCUUCAUUGUUGGGUAAAGCCACAGCCUCAACCCACUUGGAAACAUAAUCAACAGCCACCGGAAUAUAAGUGUUGCCACACGAACUCACAAAAGGCCCCUUGAAGUGUAUGCCCCACAUGUCAAAAAUGUUAACCUCAAGAAUAGUGGUGAGAGGCAUUUCAUCCUUCACAUCUCAUUGACACUCAUCACAUCUCUUUACCAGCUCUUUGACACUCAUCACAUCUCUUCACAAGCUCACUAGCAUCUUUAUACAAUGUAGGCCAAUAAAAACCAUAGCUAAGAACCUUUGAAGCAACUCUCGCCCCACCAUGAUGACCACCGUAGGGCGAGGAAUGGCAAGCAUCAAGAAUACUCAUUUGCUCCUCUUCGAAACACUUCUUCGGAUCAUACAAUCAUUACAAAUCUUGAACAGAUAAGGCUCAUCCCAGUAGUAAUCCAAGCAAUCCCGUUUAAGCUUUUUCCUUUGGUUAGAAGAGAGCUCAUACGGGACAAUGUCGGUCACAAGAAAGUUAGCAACAUCGGCAAACCAAGGCAUACUAUUCAAAGAUACGGAGAGGGUUUGUUCAUCCGGGAAUGAAUCAUUAAUUUCGAGUCCAUCACGGGGCCUCCCCUCCUCCUCCAAGUGGGACAAGUGGUCUGCCACUUGGGUUUCACACCCUUCUCGAUCAACAAUUUCAAGGUCAAACUCUUGAAGCAAUAUAACCCAUCUCAUCAACCGAGCCAUAAAAUCCUUCUUAGUCAUCAAGUAACAGAGUGUCGCGUGAUCAGUAUAAACAGUCACUUUGGCACUUAUGAGAUAAGGCCUGAACUUUUCCAUGGAAAACACUAUGGCUAGCAACUCUUUUUCUGUCACCGUGUAAUUAACCUGGGCAUCAUUCAUAGUUUUUCUUGAAUAAUACACCGGGUGAAACAUCUUGUUCAUCAUUUGCCCUAAGACCACUCCUACCACAAUAUCACUUGCGUCACACAUAAGCUCAAAGGGUAAACUCCAAUUGGGUGAGGUAAUAAUGGGAGUGGUCGUCGGUGUUUACUUGUGAAGUUAAAAAGCUUUCAUGCAUUCUUCAUUAAACACAAAACUUGCAUCCUUUUCCAACAAUUUGCAUAAGGGAUUCACUACUUUUGAGAAGUCCUUGAUGAACCUUCGGUAGAAUCCUGCAUGCCCAAGUAAGCUCCUCACUCCUUUGACAAAAGUAGGAGGAGGGAGUUUUGAAAUCACUUCGAUCUUUGCUUUGUCCACUUCGAUACCGCUCUUUGAGAUCUUAUGGACGAGGACAAUGCCCUCCUCGACCAUAAAGUGGCAAUUUUCCCAAUUAAGCACUAGAUUUGUCUCUUCACAUCGGGCCAACACUUUGUCAAGAUUACCUAAACAUUAUUCAAAAGAGUCACCCACAAUAUUGAAAUCAUCCAUGAACACUUCCAAGAAGUCAUCCACCAUGUCUGUAAAUAUAGCCAUCAUACACUGCUGAAAUGUAGCCGGUGCAUUACACAAACCAAAUGGCAUUCAUGAAAAUGCAAAGGUGCCAUACAGACAUGUGAAGGUGUUUUCUCCUGGUCCUCUGGUGCAAUCAUAAUUUGGUUGUAGCUUGAGUACCCAUCCAAAAAGCAAUAGUAGUAACACCCAGCAAGUCUAUCCAACAUUUGGUCAAGAAAGGGCAAGGGAAAAUGAUCUAUGUGGGUCACUUUAUUCAGCUUCCGGUAGUCCAUGCAUACCAUCCAUCCGGUGACAGUCUUGGUGGGGAUCAACUCAUUUUUCUCAUUUGUGACCACAGUCAUACCCCUUUUUUCCUACACACAUUGUACUGGUGAAGUCCAUGAACUAUCCAAGAUGGGGUACACAACCCCUACAUCUAGCCACUUGAUAUCUUUCUUCUUAACGACCUCUUGCAUAACCUCGUUCAACCUCCUUUGAUGUUCCACAGAGGGUUUGGCAUCAUCCUCAAGUAUAAUCUUGUACAUGAAAAAGGCAGGGCUUAUGAUCGCUGCCGACUCAACACUACAUUAUAGUAGGAAGAGCGGGUCGCAAUAGCUUUUACCCGAAUAGAGGUCCAGGAUCAAAUUUCCACAGGGAGCUAGUCGUAAAGUUGUAUUUUCUGUCUAGCCUAGAGUUGCGUUUGUGCUUCUAAUGUCACUUCAAACAUUUUUGGGUUUUUUGAUUUAUAACUAUUUUUAUAAAACUAUUGAAUAGCACUAAAUUAUACUACGAGAAUAUUGCUAAGUUGUAUCUAAUGGGAAGAAGGGCACUAGGGUCGUGGCAUUACCUUGGUGGCUAAUUGACGGGUAGAUGUUACUUAGGUUCGAUUGACUUAUUUGGAGCUUAUGCUAUAACCGUUGCACGAUUUUAUCCACUCUCACACCUCUCGGUAGAGAGAGUGAUUUUGCCCAAUUGACUCUCUCGAGACUAAAUGGGUAGGCAAAUUACACCAAGCAACUAGGGUUCAAGUAGGGUGAUUACUCUCUCGAGAUUUAACCCGUUAAUUGGGACUAUCAUUUCUCAUGAAUCCAUCCCAAUUCCUUGUUAGGUCAAUUUUGGGGUCAUAACUCUCUUUAUCAAGAAGAGUUAAACCCACAGAGCUUGAAUCAGUGUUUGCAACCACCAAUUCUAAAUUAAAUCAUAAAAUCAACCCAAAUAACAAACACCCAUAGUCAAUCUAACCCCAGAUGGCAACACCCAUCAAUUACCCACACUAGGGUUGAGCCACAAACCUACCUAAUGGGUUUAGCUACUCAUGCUAGAUACAGAAAUUGAAGAAAUAGAUUACUAAACAUAUUAAUUAAUUACUGAGAAGAAACUACAAUAAUCUAUUGUUAAUGGGAAGCAAAUAUGCCAAAAAAUGGCUACAACACCAAGUGCAGCUUCUGUCUAUCAUUCCCAGAUAUCUCGAUACCUAAAAAAUAGUAAAAUGUUCUAUUUAUACUAGGCUGGAAAAACUGGACAAAAAUACCCCUGUGGUGUCAGUGCGGGCCGCACAAAACGAACCGCGUCCGCACUAGCUCUUGGACUUUAGUUGUUUGAUAACUUGAACUGGGGGAUGCGGACUGCGUGGAAGUGUGCCGCGGCCGCGAUGGCAACUGGCGCAGUCCGUGCAGACGUGAUCAUGGACCGCGUGAGAAAAAAUGCACUCUACUGAACUUUAUGAACGUGGACCGCACAAAGCAGGAGUGCCGCCGCAAAGCUUCACCGCAGACCGCGCAUGUCCUAUCGCUGCCGCGUGACUUUAAGCUCGAACGUGUCAUGUCUCUGAACUUCCUAAUGCGGUAGCGAUCACUGUUACACGGUCCGCACUAGGCCUUUUUUCUUCACUUCUCUAUGUCUUUGACACUUGAGCAGGUUUCACUCCUUUUUUGAGCUGAUCUUUGAUAUUUCGUCACUUUGUCGAUCAAACCUGCAAUCAAGCACCACUUGUGAGCAUUUUGAGGCUAUUUCUGUGUCAAUUUAUACUCAAAGCAUAGGCAAGUAGGGGUAUAAACACGUAAAAAUCCUAAGUUAUUAACUCCCCCAAACUUAAACCUUUUUUUGUCCUCAAGCGAACAAAAUAAGACUCACCCCUUAAAGGAACAUCCAAGUAAUUCCAGCUAUCUUAAAAUAGCCUCAACAAGCAUCAAUUGGGACUAACAAUUGCCCUCAAUAUGAAUGCAUCAUUAACACAUUUAAAACUUUGACAACUCUGGAUCAAGUGUGACAUAAGAGCGUCAAGAGUUGACACAUUUCAUCAAAGAGCUUUUUAUCACUUACUUAGGUCAUUGUGGAACCCAAACUCCUACAUCCUCAACUCUCCCUAAGCGAACCUCACCUUUUAAGUAUUGACACACAAAUCGAGGUUAAUGGAAUUUCACUCCUCUCUCUCAAAAAAGAAGGUCACAAGUCCGGCUCUAAGUACCAUAUGCUUGCCCCUUAUAUAAGUAUCCACUAAUGUAAGUUAUAGGGCUUUUUUGGAGUCAUUGUGAAGGCUUUUAGGUAAGGGUAGGACAUAUUUUUAUUCAAGUGGGUUCAAUCUUCCCUUAAGCACUUCUUUUGAUUCAUUUUGGUGCAACUUUCUUGACUCUUUUUGAGGAUUUCACUUCUUCAUAAGGGGUUAGAGAGACACAUUGUCACUCUUUCUUAUACAAUUCAAAACAUUUCUCCUUUUUCUACUUUUUCCACACCUUUUUCACUUUUAUUUUCCUUGAAUCCCUUUUUAUUCUUGUUCACAUGGGACUUUCUUUUUGUCUUUUUUCUUUUCUUGCUUUUUCAUUGCCUUCUUUUCUUUCUUUUGUACCUUACUGCUUUGCUUCCUUUCUUGCCUCUCCCCCCAAACUUAGAUUUUUUCCAUUACUCAAGGGAAGAUUUUGGUGCCAAGAGAGGGUAAUCGUUUAGAACGGGUAUAGGCUUGUAGCAUUGGUUCUUGAAAGAAAAAGGUUUAAGGCUCAAAAGGGUUAACUAGGGAUAAUUUCAUUAGUAGGCUAUGAAAUUGUUCAAUUUAGCAUUUGGAUCAAGGAGAGCCUAUAAUCAUUUCUCAAGUCAAAUUUCACCUAGGAUUUUGCCUCAACAAACAUUCAGGGAAAGUUCUAGACCAUUGGCUCGGGACUUGGACUCAUAUUUCGAUUCCUUAUCACACACGCUAGGGAUUCGCUAAAGAUAUCGAGUCGAGGGCCCACAAUGACCUUAGUUACAAUUUAAGCACACAAUGGUCCAAAAAGACCACAUGAUGAUUGUUUGGUCGACGCAAGAGUCUCAAAGCCACGACUUUCACCUUCCUGAACACAACAUUAUAUCUUUGACCAUGGGAUCAAUGGCAAAUGUGCUAGGCCCAAGUGAAUCUUUACUUGAGGUACCUUUAAAUACACUAUCAAAAACAAAAGAUAAAAACAAAGAAACAGACUCAAACCCUUAAGAAGAUUGUCACGCCAUCUAUCAUUGGGAAGACCCACCCGGUUCGCACAAUACUCCACCCUUGGAAAGAACCGUGGCAUUAAGAAAACCAAGGGCUUAUUGGAAGCGUCAAAAUCAAAACAAGAGGCUACGAGCCUAACUACAAAGCUAAAAAUGAAAAUUUUGCGAAAAUAGAAAAUAGCAUGAAUAUGUACAAUAGGGAAGUAGAAUAUACAACGGGGGAUGAACAUAUACAGAAAUGUAAAGUUAUAUACAGCCCAAAAUAAAAACAAAAUCAAUAAAAAAAAAUAGACUAAGAAUCUAUAUAUACAGUCAUCCAAAUAAAAGUCGGGCACACCCCCACGAAUAAAAGUUGGCAUUGUCCUCAAUGCCAACUAUCGAAUAAGUAUCAAAAACAAAAUAAAGGAUAUAGGAGCUCCCUAGGCCUGGUCCGUCUGCAUGGGAUCAUCAGUGGUCCCCAAGUCCUCUGUAUGUAUGGGAACCUCAGACUGGUCUUUGAUCUCCUGCUGCUCAGCUGCUGGGACUGGGGCCUGCUCCUGAACCGGUUGGAUGAUGGGUGCAUCACUGGAGGGGGUCUCAUGUGGGUCUGUUAACUCAAUAACUGCACCAACUGAACUAGGGAGCUUCCUCUUCUUCCUUGGGAGCCUGGGUGCCUGCUCCUGCUCCUACUGUGGUUGUGGCACGGGUGCUGCUGCUGGGGCUGGAUCCCCGAAUAACAAGUCUAAAGGCAUCUGGUCUGCCAAUAGCUUGUCCACAUCAGUCCGUAGCACUCUCACCGACUCCUUGGAAGCCCUUGACUUCCUCAUCUUCUUGUGCUCUUUGGAAAGCUCCCUCAAAGCCUUGACAUGUGAAUCCACCGUCAUAGUCAAGGCAUCUUGAGUCCUCAUAAUCUUCUCUUGAUUGUCCAGGAGCUUCUUCAGUGUAUCCUCAAUGGACUGAGGUAUCUGAGCAGUGGAAGGUGCUGAAUGGGCCUCAACUGUAGCAGACAAUAUAGACAACUUGGAUGUCGCAGCUAACAUCCAGUUGUUCAAACUGGCUAGUGUCCGGCUCAACUGAUGGGCCGUAAAAGGAUGAGUCCGGGAAGAAGGGACCUCUAGGUCAACUGAAGUACUGGGGCCAGCAGAAGAGGAGGGUCGUGGAGGUAAAUCAUCAUCAGUGGUGACCGCAAGCAUGGUGGAAGGAUCUGUGGGGGGCUCAACAGAAGACACUACCGCAACUGGCUCCUCAGACUGGCCAGCAAGGGUAGAGGCAGGCAGCUUGUAACUUUUGUCCUUGGGGUUGUCUGUCCCCUUCAAACUCUACUAGGAGAACGGAGCCACGGGUUUGACAUUGACAUCAAACGGUCUCUUCUCCACCUCCAAGUCCCGGAAAUACAUAGUGAGGGUGCUGGGAAAAGGGUAGUUCCGGUCAUGCUCAACCCCUACUACAGAAAUGGUGUGGGACAUCAAAUUGUCCACAUUGAUAGGAUAACCUGCCAUAAUAUAAGCAAUAAGAACUGCCCGGGCAAGUGGAAUAGUCUGAUCAUGGGUAGUCGAGUCGAGCCGAUUGCAUACAAAGGUCAACCACCCUUUAGCCUCAAAGUUGAAAGUUCUCCAAAGUAUUUUGGCUCCUGCUUGUAACCAUUCUGGAACUGUACCCGGGAUUUCCAGGUAUGAAGCUAACCACGGACGAACCUCCUCGCCCAUUGCUAACCUUUCAUUGUAAAGGGACUCAACUUCAUCAUUGAACCCCAAGUAUUCAUUCAGUGCCUUCCCGGUGAAUACCACAUUUUUGUUUUUCACUUUCGUCACUUUAGUGCCUUUCAAGAUAUGGGCCACAUUGCUGUAAAACUCCUGGUCAUAUGCUCAUUCGCCUUCAAACAAUUGUCUUUAAAGAACUCCCAACCCACUCGAGCCUGAAACUGUUUAUGCACAUUGGGGUGUAAGGGUAGAAGGUCUUAGUAAAUAAAGCUCCGCUCAAGAAUCAACUUCCGUGAUGGCCACCAUUCUAUAAAUUUGUGGAAUGCCACCUGGAUGACAAAUCGAUCUUCCCAAACUUCAGGUUUUCUAGUUCUCUCAACACUCCCAACCUGGGGCACACCACUGUCUGGUACUUCAUUAUCACUAUUAGUCCCACUUUUUGCACUUUCCCCAAAUACUGAAGCUGUGGGGGAGGUGGAGUAUUCACCGCUGCCUGCUACUGAGCCAUCAGACGACUCAGAAGGUAUACAUUGUGGGGCUUGGGCAGUAUGUGAAGCUGGGACUGCAGUAGCUAGCCCUGAAUCAGAAGAGAGGUCUUGAGAGGGUACGUACUCACUCCCCGAUUGGUCGUCUAUAACAAUUUGUUUCCUUGUUUCAGUUUAGGUCGGGGGGUGAGUUGAACUUAUUUCCCUUUUCCUCCCCGGGAGGAGUCACCUCGGCUGGGCUAUUUAGAACCUCUUCCUUGUUGCUUUACCAUUGUCUGCAAGCAAACAUAUCUAACAUUGUUAGUUGAAGCACAGACAGUGAAACGGGUGACUGAAUUAAAAUUGCAGACAGUAAAAUGAAAGUUGCAGACACUGCUGCAGAACCAGCACCGCGGACCGCACCAUCAGGAGUGCGGCCGCGUUAGAGGCACCGUGGACCGCGCUAAGGCGACUGCGGGCCGCACUGAACAAAACCCCAGGAAAGAUCUUCUCUGAAUCUCACACCGCGGUCCGCACAAAAUGGGGUCGCGGUCGCGGUGGGCUAGCACGGAUCGCACAAAAGUUACCGCGGCCGUGCUAGACACAAGUUAUUCCUCAGUCAUUCAAGCAUCACGGACCGCGUGGAAGUGUAAUGCGGACCGUAUUAGGGCACCAUGGACCGCGCUAAGGCAACCGCGGGCCGCACUGGGUUAGGUUCAGGGUCUAAGCUAGGGUUGCAUGCUUUGUUCUAUUUUUGUUCAAAUUUUUACCCCUACUUAUCCAUACUCAGGUACCCAAUCCUUAGUUACUUUAAACUAAUCACGAAAUCUAACCUAAACUAACAAUUCGAAGAAAAUCAUGAAGAAAAAGAAGUUACAGACUACUGGAAAGAAAUUAAAAUAAAAAUAAGAAAGUAAUUAAUCAUAAAUGCAUGAAAUGUUACCAAGAUUAUGAAGAAUGAAUGCAAUCUAUCCAAACAAGCAAGAAUCUCAGUCUUGGAAGAGGAUGAACAGUAGAAUUAGGGUUCUGGGUUUCCAAUUUGCAAAAAGGGUAAAAUGGGACCCUUGGUAUCUAUUUAUAGAGACCCAGUAGGACCCGUACUCACCUACUAGCGCGGCCGCACAAAAGUAAUCGCGGACCGCGCUGGGUUUAUUUAUGUGACCCCUCAUGACGAACCCUACGCGAACCACACAAACGUGGAACGCGGCCACGUAGGUCCUCCCCGGUCCGCACUAACUUGACCGCGGCCGAGGUGAGGAACUUCAGAGAGUCCCCCUUUUUGACUCAUGCCAGCACAAACCGCACAAAGUGCACCGCGGCCGCGCUGGAAAUCUUCAGAAACUAUGCCAUUUUUCUACUUUGUUUUGCACUGAUUCAACACAAUCCCUGCAACAUCUCACAAACAGUUAGCUCAAAAAUUCUAAGUUACAAAAAAAUCAAAAAGACAUGGGUUGCCUCCCAAGAAGCUCCUGAUUUAACGUCGCGGCACGACGUAUGUUACCACCACAUCACUUUAGAUGAAGAAGCACCACUACGUGGCUGCCAUCGAACUUUCCAAGAUAAUGCUUGACCCGGUGGCCAUUGACUCUGAAGACUUCACCAUUUUUGUUGUUUAGAUCAAGAGCACCAAAUGAGGUCACAAACACAACUUCAAAUGGCCCACUCCACUUUGACUUGAGCUUACACGGAAACAGACGUAACCGGAAAUUAAACAAGAGAACCAUAUCCCAAACUUUGAACUCCUUGCCCCGAGCAUAUUUGUCGUGAAAGUAUUUCAUUUUGUCCUUGUACAAGGACGAGCUGGAGUAUGCAUGAAAUCUAAACUCAUCGAGCUCAUUAAGUUGUUCAACCCUCAGAUUUGCAGCAACAUCCCAUUCUAAGUUCAACUUCCUCAAGGCCCACAUAGCCUUGUGCUCCAAUUCCACCGGAAGAUGGCAAGCUUUCCCAAACACCAACUGGUAUGGAGACAUACCAAUCGGGGUCUUGUAAGCUAUCUGAUAGGCCCAAAGAGUAUCAUCCNNNNNNNNNNNNNNNNNNNNNNNNNUUCCACUUCGACCGCUAGCUUGAGGAUGAGUAGGGGGUGGUUACUUUGUGAUUAACUGCACAUUUGUCUAGCAAUGAAUCAAAAGCCUUGUUGCAAAAGUAAGAUCCCCCAUAACUAAUGAUAGCAAUGGGAGUGCCAAACCUCGUGAAAAUACUCUUUUUAAGAAAUGCCACAACACUCCGGGCUUCAUUGUUGGGCAAAGCCAUAGCUUCAACCCACUUGGAGACAUAAUCUACCGCCACCAGAAUGUAAGUGUUUCAACAAGAGCUCACGAAAGGACCCAUGAAGUCUAUGCCCCAAACAUCAAAAAUAUCUACCUCGAGAAUCGUAUUGAGGGGCAUCUCAUCCCUUUUUGAAAUUUUGCUGGCUCGUUGGCAUUCAUCACAUAUUUUGACCACAUCACCGGCAUAUUUAAACAAAGUAGGCCAAUAAAAUCUGCAACUAAGCACUUUAGAAGCCGUCCUCGCCCCGCCAUGAUGGCCACCAUAGGAUGAGGAAUGGCAAGCUUCCAAAAUACCCAAUUGCUCCUCUUUUGGGACACAUCAUCGAAUCACACUAUCAGUGCAAAUCUUAAACAAAUAGGGCUCGUCCUAAUAAUAAUCCAAGUUAUCUCGCUUGAGCUUCUUCCUUUGGUUAGAAUAGAGCUCACACGGGAUGAUUCCAGUAACAAGAUAGUUUGCAACAUCGGCGAACCACGGCAUUCCACUCAUUGACACCGUAAGGAAUUGCUCGUCGGGAAAUGUAUCAUUGAUCUCAAGGUCGUCACAAGGCCUCCCCUCCUCCAAAUGGGACAAGUGGUCCGCCACUUGAUUCUCACUACCCUUCCGGUCAGUAAUUUCUAAAUCAAACUCUUGAAGAAGAAGAACCCAUCUCAUCAAUCUUGCCUUUGAAUCUCUCUUGGUCAUCAAAUACCUAAGAGCGGCAUGGUCGGUGUGCACAAUAACUUUGGCCCUCAUAAGGUAAGGAAGGAACUUUUUCAUAGCAAAAACAAUAGCCAAUAACUCCUUUUCGGUGACUGUGUAGUUCUUUGAGCCUCAUUCAUGGUCUUGCUUGAGUAGUACACUGGAUGGAACAUCUUGUUGAUCCUUUAGCCAAAAACUACCCCCACCGCAAUGUCACUCGCGUCGCACAUGUGCUCGAAUGGUAAGCUCCAAUUUGGUGCGGUGAUGAUGGGGGUAGUUUUCAACUUUUGUUUAAGGAGCUCAAAAGCCUCCAUGCAUUUCUCAUCAAAAACAAACUUGGAAUCUUUCUCUAGCAACUUGCACAACGGGUUAACUACCUUAGAAAAAUCUUUGAUGAACCUCCGGUAGAAACCCACUUGUUCAAGAAAACUCCUCACCCCUUUGAUAGAAGUAGGGGGAGGAAGCCUUGAAAUAACCUCGAUCUUGGCCUUAUCAAUUUCAAUUCCUCGCUUCGAGAUCUUGUUACCCAACACUAUACCUUCUUCUACCAUAAAGUGGCACUUUUCCCAGUUUAGAACAAGGUUGGUACCUUCACACGAGACAAUACUCUAUCCAAGUUUACCAAGCACUCCUCAAAAGAAUCCCCAACCACGCUGAAAUCAUCCAUGAAGACCUCCAAAAUAUCAUCUACCAUGUCGGUGAAAAUAGCCAUCAUGCAACAUUGGAAGGCCGUUGGAGCAUUACAUAAUCCAAAUGGCAUUCUAGAGAAAGCGAAUGUGCCAUAAGGACAUGUAAAAGUUGUCUUUUCUUGGUCCUCCGGGGCAGUGAGAAUUUGAUUGUACCCCGAGUAACCAUCAAAAAACAAUAGAAAGCCCGGCCCGCAAGACGAUCAAGCAUUUGGUCAAGGAAUGGCAAUGGAAAAUGAUCUUUUCUAGUUACCUUGUUCAGCUUUCGGUAAUCCAUACAAACUCUCCAACCCGUCACUGUCCGAGUCGAAAUAAGCUCAUUAUUGUCAUUGGUCACUAUAGUCAUUCCACCUUUUUUGGUACACAUUGCACCGAAGAAGUCCAUGAACUGUCAGAAAUGGGAUAAACCACACCUGCAUCAAGCCACUUGAUAACCUCUUUCUUUACUACUUCUUGCCUAGCCUCAUUUAAUCUUCUUUGAUGCUCAAGUGAAGGCCUCGCAUCCUCCUCCAAUAUGAUUUUACAUAUGCAAAAGGCGGGGCUUAUACCCCGAAUAUCAGCUAGAGUCCAUCUGAUUGCCCUUUUCGCUUUUGAAGAACCGCCAAGGUGGCUUCAACCUGCAUGUUAGUAAGACAAGAAGAAAUAAUAACAGGUAAAGUAGAAUUUGAACCCAAGAAUUCAUACCUGAGGUGUGGAGGAAAUGACUUCAACUCCAACACUGGUGGCUCCUCAAUCGAGGGCUUUGUUGGUGGAGUUUUGCGGUUUUCAAGAUCUAACGAUAGCCUUCUAGGCUCAUAAGAAUAUGAACCCAUACCACGCAAUGCAUUCAUGCACUCCACUCUACUAGCAUCAUAAUUGACAUCCAUGUUAAGAAGCAUGGCCUCAAGAAGAUCUUCAACAUUGAUCAUGGAACUUGUGUCAUCCACUAUCACGGUUGUGACAAUGUCCACAAAUGAACACAUCUCUGUGCUAUUGGGUUGUCUCAUUGAUUUGCAAACGUGGACUACCACCUUCUCAUCUCCCACUCGGAAUGUCAACUCACCCACUUCAACAUCAACCAAUGCUUUCACCGUAGCUAGAAAACGUCUUCCAAGAAUAGUCGGCACUUCAAAAUCCACCUCACAAUCUAAAAUAACAAAGUCGGACGGCAAUAUGAAUUUAUCAACACGGACAAGAACAUCAUCGGUUAUGCCCAAGGGUCGCUUCAUCGAUCGAUCCGCCAUUUGGAAGUCUCAUUGAGGUAGGUCGANNNNNNNNNNNNNNNNNNNNNNNNNNNNNNNNNNNNNNNNNNNNNNNNNNNNNNNNNNNNNNNNNNNNNNNNNNNNNNNNNNNNNNNNNNNNNNNNNNNNNNNNNNNNNNNNNNNNNNNNNNNNNNNNNNNNNNNNNNNNNNNNNNNNNNNNNNNNNNNNNNNNNNNNNNNNNNNNNNNNNNNNNNNNNNNNNNNNNNNNNNNNNNNNNNNNNNNNNNNNNNNNNNNNNNNNNNNNNNNNNNNNNNNNNNNNNNNNNNNNNNNNNNNNNNNNNNNNNNNNNNNNNNNNNNNNNNNNNNNNNNNNNNNNNNNNNNNNNNNNNNNNNNNNNNNNNNNNNNNNNNNNNNNNNNNNNNNNNNNNNNNNNNNNNNNNNNNNNNNNNNNNNNNNNNNNNNNNNNNNNNNNNNNNNNNNNNNNNNNNNNNNNNNNNNNNNNCUACCUAUUCCUAAUUUCCUUGGUUGUCUUUGUAUUACCCCUAAUUGUUGUUUUGGUUGUUGUUAUUCCUAAUUACCUCCUCCUUGUUGUUGAUUGUUGUUAUUCUAAUUACCGCCGCCUUGUUGUUGAUUGCCCCAAUUUCCUUGAGGACACCAUUGUUGAUUUGAAGAGUUACCUCUAUUCCCUUGGUAGUUGUUGACAUAUUGGACCUCUUCGCUUUGAUCAUCAUAGCACUCAUUUGAAUAACCACCACUAUCAUUGUUGUUGUCAUAUUGUUCACAAUUACCUUGAGGUUGUUGUCCUCUUUUCCUCCUUUUCAACAUAGAAACACCUUCCAUUGCAUUGACUUGGCGCGGGUUUUGGACUUGUUGCAAUUGUGCAUUUGCUAAUUUAUUCAUAGUUGUUGUAAGCUCGACGAUGGCUUGGCCAUGAUCGUGCAAUUCCUUGUGCAAAUGGAUGACCGUGGGGUCACCUUGGGGCAUAUUUUCUCGGUUUUGCCAUGCCGAAGAGAUGUCGGCCAUUUCAUCAAGUACAUCACAUGCCUCUUGGUAAGAAAGUUUCAUAAAGUUCCCUCCGGUCAAUUGGUUCACAAUGCAUUGAUUUGUGGUGUUGAUGCCCCGAUAAAAGGUUUGUUGAAUCAUAGCCUCGGUCAUGUCGUUAUUAGGUCACUCUUUCACCAUUGUUCUAUAUCUUUCCCAUAUCUCAUGUAAAGGUUCCGUUGGCUCUUUCUUGAAAGCUAGAAUUUCAUCCCGAAGAGCUGCCAUAUGACUUGGAGAAAAGAACUUGGCAAUAAAUUUGUCCGCCAAUUCAUCCCAUGUUGUAAUAGAAUGAUUGGGGAGCCUUUCUAACCAAUCCAAUACUUUAUCCCGAAGAGAGAACGGGAAAAGCCUCAAUCUCAAUGCAUCCUCGGGCACGUUUGUCUGCUUGCUACCCCAUCAUGUAUGCAUGAACCCUUCAAGUGCUUGUAGGCAUUUUGAUAGGAGGAACCCGUGAAAUACCCUCUUUGCUCGAGCAAGGUCAGCAUAACAUUUGUGAUUUGAAAGUUCCCCGCCCGGAUUUGGGGAGGAACAAUAGCACUGGCGUAUACUUGAUUCGGUAGAACUCUGAGAGCCACUCUCGGCGGUGUCAGAGGAGGGUCUGGAAUAUUGUUGUUCUCAUUUGCAUUUACAUUGGCAUUUCAGCCUCUCUGUGGAACUUGAGGUAAGACCUCAUCUUGUUCUAGAUCCUCUACCUCCUCCAUUGUUAUCACAUUGCCGAGAGGGUCAUUUGCAUUAUGAGCCAUAGUACCUAAUGGAUCGACACAAACAAAAUUAGUAAACAAGAAGGAAAGAGAAGAAAAACACAAAACUAACUAAACAGAUAGUCAACACCAUAAGCUCCCCGACAAGGGCGCCAAAAAGUGAUCGUUGCUGACUCGACACUACACUAUGGUAGGAAGAGCGGGUCGCAAUAGCUUUUACCUGAAUAGAGGUCCGGGAUCGAAUUUCCACAGGGAGCUAAUCGUGGAGUUGUAUUUUCUGUCUAUCCUAGAGUUGCGGUUGUGCUUCUAAUGUCACUUCAAAUAUUUUUGGGUUUUUUGAUUUAUAACUAUUUUUAUAAAACUAUUGAAUAGCACUAAAUUAUAAUACGAGAAUAUUGCUAAGUUGUAUCUAAUAGGAAGAAGGGCACUAGGGUCGUGGAAUUACCCUGGUGGCUAAUUGACGGGUAGAUGUUACUUAGGUUCAAUUGACUUAUUUGGGGCUUAUGCUAUAACCGUUGCACAAUAUUACCCACUCUCACACCUCUCGGUAGAGAGAGUGAUUUUGCCCAAUUGACUCUCUCGAGACCAAAUGGGUAGGCAAAUUAGACCAAGCAACUAGGGUUCAAGUAGGGUGAUUGCUCUCUCGAGAUUUAACCCGUUAAUUGGGACUAUCAUUUCUCAUAAGUCCAUCUCAAUUCCUUGUUGGGUCAAUUUUGGGGUCAUAGACUCUCUUUCUCAAGAAGAGUUAAACCCACAGAGCUUGAAUCAGUGUUUGCAACCACCAAUUCUAAAUUAAAUCAUAAAAUCAACCCAAAUAACAAACACACAUACUCAAUCUAACCCUAGAUGGCAACACCCAUCAAUUACCCACACUAGGGUUGAGCCACAACCCUAGCUAAUGGGUUUAGCUACUCAUGCUAGAUAUAGAAAUUGAAGAAAUAGAUGAAGAACUAAACAUAUUAAUUAAUUACUGAGAAGAAACUACAAUAAUCUAUUGUUAAUGGGAAGCAAAUAUGGCAAAAAUGGCUACAACACCAAGCGCAGCUUCUGUCUAUCGUUCCCAGAGUUCUCGAUACCUAAAAAAUAGUAAAAUGUUCUAUUUAUACUAGGCUGGAAAAACAGGACAAAAUACCCCUGUGGGAUCAGUGCGGGCUGCACAAAAUGGACCGCGGCCGCACUAGCUCUUGCACUUCAGUUGUUUGAUGAUUUGAACUGGGGGAUGCGGACCGCGUGGAAGUGUACCGCGGCCGCGAUGGCAACUGGCGCGUUCCGCGCAGACGUGACCGCGGACCGCGUGAGAAAAAAUGCACUCUGCUGAACUUUUUGAACGCAAACCGCACAAAGCAGAAGUGUGGUCACGAAGCUUCAUCGUGAACCGCGCAUGUCCUACCGCGGCCGCGUGACUUUAAGCUCGAACAUGCUAUGUCUCUGAACCUCCUAAUGCGGUCGCAGUCACUGUUACGUGGUCCGCACUAGGCCCUUUUUCUUCACUUCUCUUGGUCUUUGACACUUGAGCAUGUUUUACUCCUUUUUGAGCCAAUCUUUGACAUUUCGUCACUUUGUCGAUCAAACCUACAAUCAAGCACCACUUGUGAGCAUUUUGGGGCUAUUUUUGUAUCAAUUUAUACUCAAAGCAUAGGCAAGUAGGGGCAUAAACACGUAAAAAUCCUAAGUUACCAUCUUAUCCCCUGAAUAUCAUCUAGAGUCCAUCCAAUUGUCCUCUUCCUUCUUUGAAGUAUCUCAAGGGUAGCAUCUACUUGCACGUUUGUAAGGCACGAAGAAAGAAUAACAGGUAAAGUUAAACAAGGGCCCAAGAAUUCAUACUUAAGGUGUGGAGGUAAAGGCUUCAAAUCCAUUAUGGGAGGUUCCUCGAUUGAGGGAUUUUUUGGUGGAGUCUUUCUAUAUUCAAGAUCCAAGGAAAUUUUACGGGGCUCAUAGGUGUAAAAACCCAUUCCUUGCAAGGCAUUGACAUACUCUACCAAACCUUCAUCCUCAGUUACAUAAUGGUCAACAAUACAGCUUCCAAAGGAUCCUUCACAUUGAUCAUGGCUCUCGUGUCAUCAACUAUCACUUCCGUCACAAGAUCCACAAACGAGAAAACUUUAGUACUAUUCGGUAGCCUCAUCGAUUUGCACACGUGGAAGACAACUUUUUCAUCAUCCACCUGGAAGGUGAGCUUCCCUAGUUCCACAUCAACCAAUGUCUUCCUUGUUGCUAGGAAAGGCCUUCCCAAUAUUAUAGGCACCUCAUAGUCGACAUCGCAGUCGAGAAUCACAAAAUCCGCAGGCAAAAUAAAUUUGUCAACCCGGACAAGAACAUCAUCAAUAAUACCAAGUAGCCUUUUCAUUGUUAUAUCCGCCAUUUGCAAUCUCAUUGAAGUAGCUCUCGGUUGACCAAUACCCAAUGUUUUGAAUACGGAGUAAGGCAUAAAAUUUAUACUUGCUCCCAAAUCACACAAGGCCUUUGCAAAAUCCGCACUCUCAAUAGUACAUGGAAUGGUUAAAGCACCGGGAUCUUCAAGCUUUGGAGCCAUCGAAUGCAUAAUUGCACUCACUUGAUGAGUCUUUUUAAUGGUAUCACAAUCCAUAGAUCUCUUUUUAGUCACCAAGUCUUUCAUAAACUUGGCAUAUCCCGGCAUUUUCUCAACAGCUUCCACCAAGGGUACAUUGAUCGAAAAGCUUUUUAUCAUCUCAAUAAACUUCUUGAACUGGUUUUCAUUCUUUUGCUUCGCAAGUCUUUGAGGGUAAGGCAGAGGAGGCCUUGGCAAAGGAGCCUUGGCUUUAGGCAUUACCAUUUUUGGUAUGUCUAUCACGUGUUCCCUAGACGGGUUCACGUCAUUUUGAGUCUCCAUCUCAUUGUCAUGAAUAUCAAUUCUCACCUCAACAUCCAAAUUCUCUUCACUCACUUGCUCAUCAACUAUUGGAAAAUCAUCAUUUUGCACUUCAACCUCAUCACUCACAACUUCCUUUUGCUUGGAGGUACUUGCUUCACUACCUCUACCGCUCCUUGUGGUCACUGCCAUUGCACGGCCGGUAUUGUUCCCGCCAUUCGGGUUUACUUCUGUGUCACUAGGUAGUGCCUCCUUAGGGCGAGUGUUCAAAGAUCGCAAAAUCUGGCCAAGUUGGACCUCCAAGUUCUGGAUAGAAGUAUUAUAGGAUGUCAACUGGGCAUUGGAAUCAGCAUUUUUCUUCAUCAUUUGUUCAAACAUCAACUAAAUCCUCCCCAUCUCAUUAUUUGAUGAGCCGACAUUUUUCUUCAUCAUUUGUUCAAACAUCAACUCAAUCCUCCCCAUCUCAUUAUUUGAUGAGCUAGGACCUUGGAACGGAAAUGGAGGAAGGUUUUUUGGUUGUUGAUACAUCAGAGGACUUUGAAAGCCCGGCCCCCGAUUCCCUUGAUUACUAUUAUUCCAACCCCCUUGGUUGUUGUUUCCUCCACAAUUUCUAUUGUUAUUGCCACCCCACUUGCCCUGGUUGUUCUGGUUGCCCCAAUUCUGAUUGUUGUUCCCCCAGUUGCUAUUUCCUUGUUGGUUUUGAUUCCCCUAAUUUCCUUGGGAUCUCCACUACUAUUGUUGAUUCGGAGCACUGCCCCGCUGUCCUUGGUAGUUUUUCACAUAUUGAACUUCUUCACUCUGAUCAUCAUACCCAUCAUCUUGGUUGAAACCACUGCAACCUUGAUCAUAUUAAUCCGGAUUUCCUUGACUUUGUUGACCUCUUUGUCGCCUCUUGUUGACCAACAUGUUUACCCCUUCCAUGGCAUUCACCUAUCUUGGCACUUGAACAUGCUGCAAUUGAGCUUUUGCCAACGAGUUCAUUGUUGUAGUCAACUCUGCUAUUGUUUGUCCAUGCUUAUGGAGCUUUUUGUGUAGGUGAAUGACAUUGGGAUCACCUUGUGGCACAUUAGCUCGACUUUGCCAUGCCGAGGAAGUAUCUGCCAUCUCAUCGAGAAUAUCACACGCCUCAACAAUAGGAGUGUUCAUAAAGUUUCCCCCUGCUAGCUGGUUCACUACACACUGAUUGGUGGUGUUGAUGCCACGGUUGAAUGUUUGUUGGAUCAUUGCUUCGGUCAUGUCAUUGUUCGAGCAUUCUUUCACCAUCAUCUGAUACCUUUCCACGAUCUCAUGAAAUGGUUCAUUAGGUUCCUGUUUGAAGGCCAAGAUAUCAUCUUUCAAGGUCGCCAUAUGCCCCGGCGAGAAAAACAUGGCUAUAAACUUGUCAGCCAACUCAUCCCAUGUGGUGAUGGAAUGGUUGGGGAGUCUUUAGAGCCAGUCCAAAGCUUUCCCUCUAAGUAAAAAGGGGGGAAAUCUCAGUCUCAAUACAUCCUCCGACACAUUUCUAUGUUUUCUACCUCAGCAGGUAUCCACAAAACCUUUUAGAUGGUUAUAUGCAUUUUGAUGGGGAGUGCCUGUGAAGUACCCUCUUUGCUACAAUAAGGUCAACAUAACAUUUGUAAUCUAGAAAUUGCCCACCCGGAUCUGGGGUGGGACAAUUGCACUUGCUUAACCUUCAUUUGAAAGCACUCGAGGAGCUACUCGCGGAGGAACUGGAGGAGGGUAUAGAAUGUUUUCAUUGGCAUGGCAGCCUCUUCUUUGAGCUUGAGGUACUAGAGGCACCUCAUCUUCACCAUUAUCAUCUACCUCCUCCCCCUGGAGAACAUUUCCGAGAGGAUCAUUAUUUGCCAUUUUGUACCUGAAUCAAUUAACUCACACAAGUUAGUAAAAUAGAAGGAAAGAAAAACAAGACACACAAAUAGUCAGAUAGAUAGCCAAAACCGUUUAACUCCCGGGCAACGACAUCAAAAAGUAAUUGGCUCCAACUCUACACCACUAUAUAAUGGCAAAGAUUGGUCGAUGCAGCUUUUACCCGAAAGGUCAGGAUCGAUAUCCACAAGGAGCUAAUAUUGGCUGGGAGUUUAGUUUCUAUCCAAUCUAGUUAUGUGUGUUGCUCUUAAUUGCACUUAUAACCAUGUUUGGAUUUGUUUCUAUUCUACUUUUUAAUACUACUGAUUGCUGAAAAUAAUCUAAGUACAAUAUUUUUGUAAGAGUUUUCUCAAUUGAUAAAAAGCUCUAGGGAAGUGACUUACACCUAGGUGAGUAUCUAAUGGGAUCUAAAAUUUAGGACACGCUUGUUAUAUUUGAGGUCGUGAUAUAACCUUUGAACAUAAUUACUCACUAUAUACCUCUCGGUAGUUUGAGUUACUUUGCCCGAAUUGUCUUUCUAAGGCCCAAUUGGGUGUUCAAACUAUGCAAGCAAAAUUUACUCAAGUCGGGUAUUACUAUCUCUAGGUUUAACCCUUUAAUUGGGGCUAUCAAUCUCUUGAAUGCACCCUGAUUCCUUGUUAGUCUGAAUUUCCUAGACUUAGUCCCUCUUUCUCAACAAGAGUCUAAGUCAUAAAGGCAUGAAUCAGUGUUUGCAACCACCAAUUCUACAAUUAAAGCAUGAAUCAAGAUAAAUAUCACUAACCCAUAAACAAUUAGGCCCUAAAAUUAAAGACUCGUUAAAUACCCACACUAGGAUUGGGUCACAACCCUAGCUAAUGGGUUUAGCUACUCAUAAUCAAGGUAAAAAUCAAAGAUGGAGAUGAAAUAUAAGCCAUAAAUGUUGAUUACAAGAAUAAAAUCUAAGAUCAAUAACUAAAACUGCUCUAAAAUUACUCUAAGUGGUAAAAUACGGCUGUUCACGAGCUCCUCCAAGCAAAAGAUAACCUAAAAAUGUGAAAAAGAUCUAUUUAUACACAACUAAAAUUACUGGACAAAAAUACCCCUACGGAGGUUCCGCUGUCAGCGAAAUAAUUGGCACUUCAGCGCAUUGACUUUCGCAGCCGCACAAAAGCAGGAACACACCGCGUUUAUUCUCUUUUGUGCUUGGUCUGAACUUGAUUCCGUGGGGAGCGUAAAAGCUAUUGCCUCAGUGUUAGCAUCAACCACAGCCGCGCAAUUUGGACACGGACCGCACUCCUUAGUUAAGCUCAUUUUGCAGGGUCUCUGAACUUUGAUUGACGCUCUCAGCGGAAUUUGCACCGCAUCCAUGUCAGGUAUUCUGCGGCCGCGCUAUUUCGUCGCGGUCAGCAGUCCCUGUCUGCAUCCAAAACACCUUCUCUGAACCUCAAUUCCGCAGACCGCGUAAUUGUGACUGCCUCAGCUGUGAAACUUUCGCGGCCGCUCUUUUCCUUCGCGGUCAGCGCUUUUAUCUCAUCUUUGAACUUGUGCUGAUUUAACUCCUCUAUGAGCUGGUUAUGACAUUCUUGCCUCAUUUUGACCAAACCCUGUAGACAAGCACAAUAAGUCAAUUUUCGGGAAUACUUUCACAUAUUUUUUAUCCAAAACUUAAGCAAAAGAGAGCAUAAGAAAGGCUAGAAUCCAUAGUUAUUAACCAGCAACGCAGAGUCAUCAACUAUUCUCCAAAGUCUAAAAUCAGUCUGUAGCCUAUUCGAUACUCACCCGAGCCCCUCGAGCCAUAAACCAAACAUGCAUGCAAAUGUAAUAACAUCAACAAACUCACUUGUGAGAUCAAAAUACCAAAAUAACACAUAAAACUAUAAAUCAGACAUCAAAAUGUAUGAAAAUUUUGAAAAAAUUCAAGAACUUGAAAUUCUAUAACCAGUCUGAAUCACGUCAAAUCAACUCCGCAUUACACCAAAUUUUGCAGAAAAGUCAUAAAUAGUAAAAUGAACCUAUUCCAAGUUACAGACCAAAAUCCAAACCCGGUAUCAACAAAGUCAACCUACGAUCAAACUUAGGAAUUCUUAAAGCCUUCAAAUUACUAUUUUUCAACAAUUCACGUUAAAUUAAGUUAGGGACUUUCGAAUUUGACUACGGAUAUAUUCCCAAGUCCCAAAUCACGAUACAAACCCGCUGGGACCACCAAAACUCUUAUCCGAGUUCGUUUACCCAAAAACUUGACCAUAGUCAACUCAAAUUAGUUUUAAGGCAAAAUUUCACAUUUUUAAAACUUUUUUUACAUAAAAUAUUUCCGGAACAAGUUAUGGAUUGCGCGUGUAAAUCAAGGAGUACUGAAUGGAGCUAGUUGAGAUCUCGAAAGAACUAAAGGCUAGAACUCGAAAUGACAUAUCGGGUCAUCACAUUCUCCACCUCUAAAAUAAAUGUUCGUCCUCGAACGGACAUAGAAAAGUACCUGGACUGGUGAAAAGGUGUAGGUAUCUACUCCGCAUAUUCGACUCGGACUCCCACAUGGCUGCCUCGAUUGGCUGACCUCACCACUACACUUGAACUGAAAGAUAAAUCUUACACCUCAACUUCCGGACUUGCCGGGCUAGAAUGGCCACUGGCUCCUUCUCAUAAGUCAAAUCCUUGGCAAUUGGACAGAGUUGAAAUCUAAAUCAUGGGACAUAUCAUCUUGAUACUUUCGGAGCAUGUACACAUGGAACACUAGAUGGACUACUGAUAAACUAGGUGGCAAUUCCAGUUUGUAGGCCACCUCCCCCACUCUCUCAAGAAUCUCAAAGGGUUCGAUAUACCUAUGGCUCUACUUGCCCUUCUUUCUGAAUAUCAUGACACCCUUCAUAGGUGAAACUCGGAGAAAUACUCUCUCUCCAACCAUGAAUGUAACAUCACAAACUCUCCGAUCGGCAUAAUUCUUCUACCUAGACUGAGCUGGGCAAAAUCAAUCCUAAAUCAUCUUGACCUUUUCCAAGGCAACCUGAACCAAAUUGGUACGCAAUAAUCGAGCCUCUCCCAGCUCGAACCACCAAACUGGCAAACGGUGCUGCCUCCCGUAUAAUGCCACAUAGGGAGCCAUCUGAAUACUCGACUAGUAGCUGUUGUUAUAGCCAAACUCCGCAAACGGCAAGAACUGAUCCCAAGAACCCCGAAAUUCAUAACACAAGCGCGAAGCAUAUCCUCGAAUAUCUGAAUGGUGCGCUCAGACUGUCCGUCCAUCUGGGGUGAAAUGUUGUACUCAACUCAACCCAUGUGUCUAAAUCGCGUUGUACGUCCCUCCAAAAGUGUGAGGUGCACUACAUAACUCAAUCAGAAAUGAUGGACACUGGCAUACAGUGAAGACGGACGAUCUCACGGAUGUAGUUCUCAACUAACCACUCUGAAGAAUAGGUAAGUGCCACUAGAAUGAAAUGUACCAACAUGGUUAACCUGUCCACAACAACCCACACUGCAUCAAAUUUCUUCUGAGUCAGUGGAAGCCCAACAACGAAAUCCAUGGUAAUACGCUCCUAAUUCCUCUCAAGAAUCUCAAGCCUCUAAAGCAAUCCACUAGGCCUUUGAUGCUCAUACUUUACUUGUUGACAAUUCAAACACUAAGCUACAUAUGCAACUAUAUCUUUCUUCGUUCUUCUCCACCAAUAAUGUUAUCGCGAAUCCUGAUACAUCUUGGUGGCACCCGGAUAGAUGGAAUACCACGAACUGUGGGCCUCCUCAAGAAUCAACUCACGAUGCCCAUCCACAUUGGGUACACAAAUCUAACCAUACAUCCGCAACACCCCAUCAUCUUUAAUUGUAACUUGAUUGGCACCACUAUGUUGCACUGUGUCCUUACGGGAAGAAAAUAGGGGUAAUCAUAUGGAUACUCUCUAAUGUGCUCAUACAAAAAACACCGAGAGACUGUGUAAGCUAGAACAUGACUGGGCUCCAAAAUAUCUAACCUCACGAACUGAUUGGCCAAAGCCUGAACAUCUGAUGCUAGCAGCCUCUCCCUAACUGGAAUAUACGCAAGUCUACCCAUAGUCGUAGCCUUUCUACUCAAAGAAUCGACCACCACAUCGGCCUUCCCAGGAUGAUAUAAAAUGGUGAUAUAAUAGUCUUUUAACAGCUCCAACCAUCUCCAUUGCCUCAAGUUGAAAUCUUUUUUCUUGAACAAAUACUGUAGACUCCAAUGAUCCGUGAACACUUCACACGAUACGCCGUAGAGGUAAUGCCUCCAAAUCUUCAGUGUAUGAACAAUGGCUGCAAACACUAGGUCAUGAAUAUGGUAAUUCUUCUCAUGAACUUUCAACUGUUGUGACAUGUAUGCAAUCACCCUUCCAUCCUGCAUCAAUACUGCACCGAGCCCAAUACGAGAUGCAUCACAAUACACUAUGUACGAUCUUGAACUUAUGGGUAAUACCAAAACUGGAGCUAUAAUCAAGGCAGUCUUGAGCUUCUAGAAGCUCAACUUACACUCAUCCGAACACUAGAAUGGAGCACCCUUCUGGGUCAAUCUAGUCAAUGGGGCUUCUAUGGAUGAAAACCCCUCCACGAACCGGUGAUAAUAACCCGCCAAACAUAGGAAGCUCCUAAUCUCUAUAGCUAAAGUAAUUCUAGGCCAGUUCUGAACAGCCUCAAUCUUCUUAGGAUCCACAUUAAUGCCCUCUACAGAUACAACAUGCCCCAAAGAGUCGACUGAGUCCAACCAAAACUCACACUUUGAACACUUAGCAUAUAACUGACUAUCUCUCGGAGUCUGAAGUACAACUCUAACAUGUUGCUCAUGUUCCUCUCGACUGCGGGAGUAGAUCAUGAUAUCAUCAUUGAAUACGAUCACAAAUGAAUCCAACUAGGGACAAAUGACUAUCUCUCGGAGUCUAAAAUACAACUCUAAGAUGUUGCUGAUGCGCCUAUCGACUGCGGGAGUAGAUCAUGAUAUCAUCAAUGAAUACGAUCACAAAUGAAUCAAAGUAGGGAUUGAAUACCCGGUUCAUCAAAUCCAUGAAUACUUCUGGGGCAUUUGUCAACCCAAAUGCUAUCACUAGGAAUUCAUAAUGCCUAUACGGAGUCUGGAAAGCUAUCUUAGGGAUAUCAAAUGCCCUAAUCUUCAACUAACAGUAGACAGAUCGCAAAUCAAUCUUCGAAAAUACUUUGGCACCCUGAAGCUAAUCAUAUAAGUCACCAAUUAUCGGUAAUGGAUACUUGUUCUUGAUAGUCACAUUGUUCAACUAUCGAUAGUCUAUACACAUCUCAUCAAGCCAUUAUUCUUCUUCACGAACAACAUAGGAGGCGAGACACUAGGUCUAAUGAAUCCUUUAUCAAGAAAUCUUGCAACUGCUCCUUCAUUUCCUUCAACUCAGGUGGCGCCAUACGAUAUGGUGGAAUAAAAAUAGGCUGAGUGCCUAGAACUAAAUCAAUACAGAAGUCAAUAUCCCUGUUGGGUGGCAUCCCCAGUGGAUCGACAGGAAAAACCUCUAGAAACUCAUGCAUAACUGAAUCCAUGGAAGGAACCUCCGCACUCAAAUCACAAAUAUAGACAAAUAUGCUAGAUACCCCUUCUCGACCAUAUUUUGAGCCUUCACAUAAGAAAUAACCUUACUAGUGGAAUGGACAAGAGUCCUCCUCCACUCUAAUUGGGGCAACCCGGGCAUGGCCAAGGUCACCGUCUUGCAUGAUAAGGUGACAUCCCAUAUAUACCCAAGAUAACAUCAAAGUCCACCAUAUCAAGAAGUCAGAGAUCUACACUAGUCUUAAGGAUCCCGAUAGAAACCACACACAAGCGAUAAACGCAAUCUACAACAAUAGAAUCUCCUACAGCAAUGGACACAUAUACAAGAGCACUUAAAAAAUGACGAGGCAUAAUUAGAUAGGAAGCAAAAUAGGAUGACACAUAGGAAUAAGUAGAGCCCGGAUCAAAUAGAAUUGAAGCAUCUCUAUGGCAAACUGGAAUAAUACUUGUGAUAAUGGCAUCAGAUGAGUCGGCCACAAGUCUAGCUGGGAAUGCAUAAAAUCAGGGCUAGGCCCCACCACCCUAACCUCCAUCUCUCAAACGGUCUCUAGCUGGCUGGCCUCCACCUUUAACCGCCUAACCUCCACCUCUAACAGCCUGACACUUACCUAUUGCUGGUUGAGCAGGAAGUGAAGCAACCGGUGCCAGAACCAUGACACGAGAACUCUAUUGUGGCACGCUGCUCAAAAAUCUCAGACAGAACCUCUUGAUAUGACUAGUACCCCCACACUCAAAGCACCUAUCAUGUUGUUGUGGCUGCUGAAGCUGAAACUGACUCGAAAGGCAAGAUAACCUCAGUGGUAGCUUUAGAUCGGAGGCGCACUAAUAUGAGCUGAUGGUAUACUAUAGGUUGGCUGGCCAAAAUUGAGAUACAUAAGGGCCAUGACUACCCGAAGCACUAUGGGAUACCUGAAACGCUAACUGAAAUGGCCUAGGAGGAUGGCCUCUACCGAAAGUACCCCUACCUCUAGAUGAGGCACCAUCGAAACCAUCGGAAUAAGGAGGCUUCUUAUCAAACACUAGCCCCCUCUCCUAACCACGAACCAUCUCGAUUCAUCUAACAAUAUCCACGGCCAUCUGAAAAGAGAUAUCAUCUUCAGUCUCCUUGGCCAUCUGUAGCCUAAUACUAAAAGUGAGCCCAUCAGUGAUUCUCCUCACUCUCUCCCUAUCAUUGGGGAGUAAAGCAAUGGAAUGACAAGCUAUGUCUACAAAUCGAGUCUUAUACUGGGUAACAGUCAUACUACCCUGCUGAAGAUUGUUGGUUCCCCAAGUACAUGCAAGUAUACGUGGCCAUCAAGUAAUAAAGUGAUACAAAAGUCAGAUGUCGACCCCAUAGAGACUUAGAUUAUUCGUUAACUAAGCAAACUAAAAUUAAAUAAUUGUCCAAGAUAAUCAAAAAUAUUGUUUAUCUACUAAACAUCUCUUGCAAAUAUUGAACCAGUAAUUAGCUAAUUUAUUAGAGAUGUAAAUGGGUGUUUUGGAUUUUUCUCAGAGGAGAUAAAGAUUCCAGGGUUGUGGUCGGUUUGUCAAUCCUAUUGGGUUCGAAAUUACACAUAUUAAUCCACAUUACCUAUGAUUGCUAGUUGACUGGAUCGUUUAUAUAAAUAGUAUGUUCCUACAAUACUAUUCAUGUCUAUCCAUAAUAUAUCAACCCUAUAUUUCUAUGGUAUUGAAUCUAUAAUGAACGAAUAUAAUACGGUAUUCAACUAAGCAAGACUAUUAGGUAUAUUCCUAUCCUAACCGCGAAAUCUUUCCCCGAGCCAUGGGUUUAGAAACAAGAUCUCUCUAAUCCUACUCUAAUCUAAACACGGCAUUCCCAAGAAUAGUAUAGAAGUAAAUAGAACUCAAAUGAUGGCCAAAUAAUUAAGCAAUUGCACAGAAUUGGAGAAAUAACCAAAGAUGAUAACUCGAAUUAAUGGUAAUGUAAUUAAUAAACUUCAAUAUUCAUGACAACCACAACCCCAAAACGCGAAGUUUAGUUCUACAUAGACGUGGUAGCAAAACAACAAUUCAUCCAAAUAAAUAUAAAGAUUACUAUGUUUUAUGGAAGAAAGAUGGAAUCUGAUGAAUUCUGGCCUCCACGGCGGCUCCGUGCUCUGCCUUUGUCCAAAGUCUGUCUCCAAAACAUCCUCCUCCACAAGUCACGUUCUUUUUUCACAAAAGUGAGUUUAAAGACUAUUUAUAUGGGAUAGGGUUAGCAUGGGGUGAAAUAAUACAAGCCCGCUUGGAAACAGCCUUUUUAGGUUAGCUCGUUCACUCUCUCAUGCGCAUGCGAGAGUAAAUGAGCGAAGUUCUUCUCUUUUUCUUUUUCUCCUAGGUCUCUCGUGCAUUUCCAUGCCUUUUUGCUAUACUUCGCUAUUUAUUUUCAAGCUUUUCCUCAAUAGAUCGUUCACUCUCUCGUGUGCACACGAGAGUGAACGAGCAAAUUCCUUCUUUUGUCUUUUGGUCCUGAAUCAACUUCUUUUGCUCACAUUUUGUCCAACUUGCUCCUACACAUAAGAAUGCACAUACUGAGCAUAAUUCACUACAAAAACUCAUAUAACCUACCAUAACCACAAAAGUUAUAAGAUGAAAGUACACCGAAAAAUAUGUAUUUUGGCCAUUUAUCAAAGACGCACAAACUACCUGCAGUAAUCCUCUAUCAGAGUGAAAGGAAUGAAUUGCUCCAGAAAUAGUUAUGAAAACUGAUCCCAGGUAAGUGCAGGUGAACCAGCUAGUCUAGUCAAUAUAUAAUCUCUCCACCAUCUUUUGGCAGAACUAGUCAUCUAAAACACUGCAAAGUCGACCCCAUUGGUCUCAACAAUGCCAUUGUUACACAACACCUUGUGGCAAUGGUCCAACAAAAUUCUGUGGGCCCUCAGAAGAUGCACCGCUGAAAUGAACAAGAAAGAGAUUGGUGUUUUUGUCCAGCCUCAACAAGGCCUCAAAAGACAUAGCGGGCCUGUCACCGGUGUGUGCUGCAACAACCGGCUGAACCACCCCAACUGGCUGGGCUGCUGGAGUUUGAUAUAGGGGAGUCACCUGCUCCGGGGUAUGAGUAGGGGGAGUUUGUGAUCCUCCCCUAGCUCGAGAGACAGUUGGUGCCACAAGAAGUGCACCGAUCUAGGCCAUACUCUCUAUAAGGCCCACCAAGUGGACUAGAGUGUCCUGAAGCACUGUAGGGUCAAUGAACCCCUUUGGGACCUGAGCUGGUCCAAGGGGCAUGGUCUGAGCGGGGAUCACCUCCUCAUUAUCAAUUUGAGGCUCCCCUGCGGGUGUUGAGGCUCGAGCUCUAGGCUGAACUCUGCCUCUGCCUCUGCCUAGGCCUCUGGCUCGACCUUGACCUCGGCCUCUGCCCCUGUAGUAGCUGCAGCAGGGGGCUCUGGCUCCUAUUCAGCUACACAUGUUGUGUGUGUUCUCGCCAUCUGCUAGAGAACAAGAAUAGAAUGGUUCAAUCAUCAAUGAUAGAAUGAAAUCGCAUGAUAAAAAGAAAAAGAAGUGAAUUUUUUUCCUAAACUCUAGAGCUUCUAGAAGAUAAGUAUAGACUUCUCCGUACCGAUCUUCUAGACUCUCCUAAGCUUGCUCAUGAUUUGUGAGACCUAGGAAACCUAGUGCUCUGAUACCAACUUGUCACAACCCAGAAUUCUCACCCUCGAGACCGUGAUGGCGCCUAACAUUUCACUUGCUAGGCAAGCCAACAUUAGAUAUAGUUAUUAACCAUUUUUAACAAUUCAAGCCAAAUGAAGACCAAUAAGCUUAAUAAACUGAAAUAAAUAAAUAAACUAACAAACAGCGAUAUCCAAAUACAACCCCAAAACUGGUAUCACGAAUACACGAGCAUCUAGAGUACUACAAAUAAUAGUUUGAAUAAAAACAGAACUGUCUGAAUUAAAAUAAACAACUAAGGUAAUGUAGAAGGGGAUUUCAGGGCUGUGAAGGUUGUGUAGCUAUACCUCAAGUCUCUGUCGAGCAUUGGAUCCGAGCAAAUCUACUGACCGCCGCUAGGCCCAACUCCAAAUUCUCGCUCUGCAAAAAGUCAACACAGGGCUCGCCUAGUCAAAACCUGUGUCCAAUGGUAUAUUUUAACUAUCCAUGACCCCACGAGUUCAUAUAUGUGAUUAGUUUUAAAAUUCGAGUCCAAAUCGAUCUCAAAAGUCAAUUUCUUAUUUUUUUUAAAACGUGACAAGGUUUCACAAUUUUUUACAUUGAUUCACAUGAUUUGAUGUUCAAAUACAAGAUAACUUGAUGGAAUAUGAUUAUAAAUAGGUUAGAAUCACUCACCCAAAGUUUGUAGAUGGAAUUCCCUCUUCAAAAUCAUCUCCUACAGAGCCUAGGGUCCAAAUUAUUAAAAUGAGGCUAAAAAUCCCGUCCUUCAGCUUUUUGUACAGCCGCAAAUGCGAUGCAAAGAAUUCAUCACAAAAGAGAACUCUCCACAUCUCUAUUUUCAUCGCAAUUGCGAUGACUAGUUCGCAAAUGCGAAUAUUGGAACUUCGCAAAAGCGAUCAACUGAUCGCAAAUAUGAUCCCCCACCGAGCCUGGAUAUGUAAUUUGUUUCGAAAUCUAACCUCAAUUUGAGGUCUAAAUCUCAAUAUUACAAAUUUCCUAAAUUCGACCCAAACCCCUAAUUUCUACCUUAAAAUUCAUAGAUUUGAUGUUAGAAAGUAAUUUAAAUUGAUUGAAAACUAGUUAAAGAUGCUACACAAUCAAUUUGGGAAGAAAUGUUUUUUCAAAAAUCGCCUCUAGAGAGCUUAGGGUUGAAAAUGCUGUAAAAUGAGCUAAGUCCCGAAUUUUUCAAACUUUUACCCAGCUGCAGAUAUCACAAUUACGAACUCUUGUUCGCAAUUGUGAUGGACCCAAGUGCGAAAUACUGAUCACAAAUGCGAUUAGUGUAUCAGUCCCCAAGAAUUCGCAAAUUUAAAAUAUACCUCGCAUUUGCGAAGUCCCCAUCCAUCGCAAAUACAGUGCAUGCUUCGAAAAUGCGAACCUAUUCUCACCAACCACUGUGUCGAAAAUGUGACUUUGAGAUUGCAUAUACGAUCCCAGACAAGUUUUCAAAAGCGAACUUUACUUCGCAAAUUGCAAAGUGCCAUCCCCCAGGACAUGUUCGCAUUUGUGAGCCUUGCAUUGUCACACCAGCAAUUGCAUUGCUUCAACAGUUCCAAACCAUUCUGCGAUGCAUCCGAAACUCACCCGAACCCCUCGGGCUCCGCACACAAGUGUAAUAACAUCCUACAAACUUGCUCGCUACCUCAAAUAAUAAAAAUCGAUCAUCAAAACUCAAGAAUUUCAACUUAAAACUGAAUUUUGACAAUCUUUCAUAUAAUGCGCUGAAAUGUGCUCAGGCCACUCCGAACCCCAAUCAAACAUGUGUACAAGUCCAAAAACAUCAUACGAACCUAUUGGAAUUGUCAAAAUACCAAUCUGAGGUUGUUUACCAAAAAUGUUGACCGCUAUCAACUCUAGCCUCAUUUUAAGUCAAAUUUUAUUUUCUUCAAAAUUUCACAUAAAAGCUUUUUGGAAAGUGUCACGGACCAUGCACGCAAAUUAAUAAAUAUAUAAUGAAGCUAUGAGAGAUCUAAUACAGAUAAAUUAAGGUUAGUACUCAAAAUAUAGGUCAAAAUCUCUUCAUGUUGCACCGUGUAGAAGUCCAAAAUAUAUGACUUAUCCUCAUGGUACUUCCGAAGCAUGAAGACAUAAAAUAUCGGAUGUACCCCUGCUAGGCUAGGAGACAAUGCAAGCCUAUAAGCAACCUCCCAAACUCUCUCCAAGAUAUCAAAUAGGCCAAUAAACCUCGAGCUAAACUUUCCCUUCUUCCCAAAUUCAUAGGCAACAUUCGGAGAAGAACUUUCUCACCUACCAUGUAAGCCAUAUCUCGAACCUUCCGGUCCGUAUAACUCUUUUUCCUGGACUAAGUUGUACGAAGUCGCUCCUAAAUCACCUUAACCUUCUCCAAAGCAUCACGGACCAAAUCAAUGCCACACAAUCUAGCCUCACUAGGCUCAAACUAACCAAUCAGCGAACAGUAUCAUUCCCAAUAUAUAACCCCGUACGGAGCCAACCAGAUGCUCGACUGAUAGUUGUUAUUGUAGGCGAACUCCACUAGAGGAAAAAAUGGGUCCCAUUGAGCACCAAAAUCAAUAGAUCAUGCCCGCAAAACGUCCUCCAAAAUCUGAAUAGUGUGCUCAGACAAUCCGUCCAUCUGAGGAUAAAAUGCGAUACUCAAAAAUGUUGGAAAUGGGUAUGCCGUGUAGGCGGAUAAUCUCCUAGAUAUUGUCAUAUUUCCUGAAGGUCCGUGGUAAGCCUACCAUAAAAUCUAUAGUGAUGUGCUACCACUUCCACUCCGAUAUCUAUAAUAUUUGAGUCAACCCGACCUAUUUAUGAUGUUCGUACUUCACUUGUUGACAAUUCAAACACUAAGAGACAUGAUCAACAACACCUUUCUUGAUUCUCCACCAAAAAUACUGAUGUUUCAAGUCAUGGUACAUCUUCGUGACACCUGGUGAAGGGAAUAGCGUGAAUCUUGAGCCUCUUCAAGGAUCAACUCCCUCAACCCAUCAACAUUUGGAACACAAAUCUAGCCUUGAAGCCACAUAACACCAUCAUCUCCAAUCACAACCUCCUUAGCACCACCCCGCUGCACUGUGUCCCUCAAUACAAACAAGUGAGGAUCGUCAAACUUGUGAGCCUUGAUACAAUUCAGCCACUAAGACUGUGCCACAAUACAGGCAAGAACCAGUUUAGGCUCCGAAAUAUCUAACCUCACAAGCCGAUUGGCCAAAGCCUAAACAACCAUGGCUAGUGUUCUCUCCACUACUGAUAAAUAUGCCAAACUGCCCAUGCUCUCAGCAUUCCUACUCAAUGCAUCAGUCACUAUAUUCGCCUUCCCCAGAUGAUACAGUAUGGUAAUAUCAUAGUCUUUCAACAACUUUAACCAUGUCCACUGCUGCAAAUUAAAGUCCUUCUACUUGAACCGGUGCUAGAGACUUUGAUGGCCGGUAUAUACCUUAGAUGGAAUGGCAUAGAGAUAGUGCCUCCAAAUCUUCAACGUGUAAACAAUGGUUUUCAACUCUAAAUCAUGCAUAUGGUAAUAUUUCUGAUGAAUCUUCAACUGACGAGAGGUGUAGGAAAUCACCUUACCAUCCUGCAUCAAUACUGCACCAAUUCCAAUACACAAUGUGUAACAAUACACUGUGUAAGAUCCCGAACCUAUAGGCAACACCAACACUGGAUUUGUAGUCAAUGAAAACUCACCUCACACUCGUCGGACCAUCUGAAAAGAGCACCCUUCUUGGUUAACCUGGUCAAUAGGGCUGAGAUAGAUGAAAAUCCUUCCACGAACCGGCGAUAAUAUAACCCGACAAACCCAUGAAGCUCCGAAUCUCUAUAGCUGAAGUGGGUCUAGGCUAGUUAUGAACUACCUAAGUUUUAUUAGGAUCCACCUUAAUUCCCUCAGAAGAUACAACAUGUCCUAAAAAGAAAACUGAGUCCACGCAAAACUCACACUUUGAAAACUAGGCAUAUAAAUAAUAAUCCAUCAAGGUCUGAAGUACGAUCCGGAGAUGUUGCUCAUGAUCCUCUCGACUAUGGGAGUAAAAAAAAUAACAUCAAUGAAAACAAUCACAAAGGAAUCUAGAUAGAGCUUGAACAUCCGGUUCAUCAAAUCUAUAAAGGCUACUAGAGCAUUAGUUAAGCCAAAUGACAUCACCAAGAACUCGUAAUGACCAUAACGAGUCCGAAAAGAUGUCUUGGGGACAUCCGAUGCCCUAAUCUUCACCUGAUGAUAGUCAGAUCUCAAAUCAAGCUUGUAAAGAACCUUGGCACCUUGAAGUUGGUCAAAUAAGUCAUCAAUCCUCAAAAACGGAUACUUGUUCUUGAUAAUGACCUUGUUCAAUUGGCGAUAAUCUAUUCACAUUCGCAUCGGUUCAUCUUUCUUCUUUACAAACAAUAUUGGUGUACCCCAAGGCGAGACAUUAAGUCUAAUGAAUUCCUUUUCAAGCAAAUCAUGCAACUAUUCCUUCAAUUCUUUCAACUCAGCUGGGCCAUAUGGUAUGGUGGAACAAAAGUGGCCUGAGUCCCCAGAAUCAAGUCAAUGCAAAAAUUGAUAUCUCUGUCGGGUGGCAUCCCUAGCAAAUCUAUAAGAAACACCUCAGGGAACUCAUGCACAACUGGAACCAAAUCCAUGGAAGGAAACUGUGCCCUAAAAUCAUGGAUAUAGGCCAGAUACACUAGACACCCCUUCUCAACCAUAUGUCGAGCAUUCACAUGUGAAAUGAACCUGCUAGUGGAAUGACCAGGAGUCCUUCUCCACUCCAAUCGAGGCAUCUCGGCAUGGCUAACAUCACAAUCUUGGCGUUAUAAUUUAAUAUAGCAUGCUACGGUGAUAACCAAUCCAUGCCUUAAAUCACGUCAAAAUCCACCAUAUCAAAUAAUAGAAGGUCAACCCUACUCUCACAGAUCCUGAUAGUGACCAAAAAAGCACGAUAGACCCGGUCUACCAUAAUAGAAUCCCCAACGAGCAUAGACACAUAAACAAGAGCACUUAAAGAAUCACGAGACAUAUCAAAAUAUGAAGUAAAAAAGGAUGACACAUAUGAAUAAGUGGAACCCAGACCAAAUAAAAUGGAUGGAUCUCUAUGGAAAACUGGAAUAAUACCUAUUAUGACUGCAUCUCUAUGGCCUCUCGAUCUGCCUAGCAAUCUCUAUAACCAUAGUGAAGGAAAUAUCAUCCUCGAUAUCUCUAGCCAUCUAUAGCCUGAUACCAUAAGUAAGGCCAUCUAUAAACCUCCACACUCUCUCCCCAUCUCAGUAAGGAUCAGGAUAGCUACAUGGCAUGAUAGAUUCACAAAUCUGGUCUUGUACUAGGUAACAAUCAUGCUACCCUACUGUAGGCGCUCAAGCUAGGCGUAGGUCCUCUCUUUGAGUGACCGGUAUGAACUUAUCCAAGAAUAGAUGUGAGAAAUGAUCCCAAAUAAGUGGAGGUAAACCUGUUGAUCUGCCCUGAACAUACUCCUAUCACCACAUCUUGGAAGAGCCAAGAAUUUGAAACAGUGCAAAGUUGACUCUAUUAGACUCCACUACACCCAUGUUGUGCAAUACCUUGUGGCAACGGUCCGAGAAAUCUUGUGGAUCCUCAGAAAGUGUACCACCAAAACGAAUAGGAAAUAGCUUGGUGAACCGGUCCAACCUCUUCAUGUCCUCGGACAACAUCAGAGGUCCCUCUCCAGACUGUGUAGCAACAAUAGACUGAACUACUCCUACUACUGGAACUGUCGGAGUUUGAUAUUCGUGAUCCAUCUAUCUGGUGUAUGAGUAGCAGUAGUCUGGGCUCCUCCCCCAGCCUGAGAUACGGCUAGUACCAUAGGGAACACACCGUCCUAGGCCACACUCUCCAUAAGUCCACCAAGCGAACUAGGGCAUCCGAAAGUGCUGGGGUGGCAAUGAGCCCCUCUAGGACCUGAGCUGGUCCAACAGCCACGGUUUGAACAGGGACCGCCUUCUCUUGCUCGAUCUGAGGCUCUGCAAUAGGUGUUGCUGCCUUUUUUCUAGGCUGAGCUCUGCCUCUACCUCUGGCUCUCUCUCGUCCUUGGCCCCUACCCUUUGUAAUGGCUGCAACCUGGAGCCCUGACUCCUCAUCGAUUAUGGAUGUUGUACGUGUUCUCAUCAUCUAUGAAAGAACAAGAAUAGAAUGAUAUAAUAAAAUCACACGAUAGAGAAAGAAGUAAAAUUUUCCUAAAGCCUUAUAGCCUCUAGAAGAUACGUAUAGACGUCUCCAUACCGAUCCUCAAGACUCUACUAAGUUUGCUCAUGACUCGUGAGAGCUAGGCAACCUAAUGCUCUGAUAUCAACUUGUCACGAUCCAAAAUUCCAACUGUGGGUCCAUGAUGGCGCAUAACACCGCUUACUAGGCAAACUAACACAACAGGGUAAUACAGAAAGAAACAGGUAGAUAUCUAAUAAUUGAACGAUAACAUAACAUAAAACACCCCGAGAUUUGGUGUCAAUAGUACAUGAGAAUCUAAAUCUAGCUAAUUAAAAGGGUUUAAAAGAUUCACAACUCUAUCUGAAAUGAAGCAGAAACAGUACAAUUGUAUACGGCCAAAAUCGGGGAGUUCAAUUUUGGGGCAAUUGUGGCACUCCACACCCGUUCUUGGGAAGCUUGAAGCAGAAUUUGAAAUCUGACCCCAAGGUGCGUAUCUCGAGGGAGCAUAUCGAAAGUUCACUGUGGUUAGUCUCGGAGCAGUACAAAUCGAUGAUCGUCAUGGAAAGGCAGGAAAGUUCCGAAGGAUACGUGGUUAGAGCUGACUAGGUCUGCAAGAAUAGUACAAAUCCGUACUGAGCCAUUAUACAGAUAUACCAAUAGCAUUUUCUCGUUAUUAUUAAACAUGUACUAUAUUGGGAUUCCCCCUUUAUAUAUAAAGGGGACUCUUAUCAUUUUGUAGAAAGGGAUGAAUAUUGAAUAGAAUAGAAUAUUCUCUGCUUUUCUUGCCUAAACGUGCUCAACAAUUACUCUACAGAUUUAUUGCAUGUUCUAGUAUUGUUCUUUAUUUAUUGCCCAUUAUUAAGCGCAAAAAGCCAUCCUCGAGGCCUUUGAUAUCUUUGUUUCUUCAUCAAUUGUUCAUUGCUAACUGCCCUAACUAGACCCCAAGGCCCCCCUAUUCCAGCCAGCUCGAGGCCCAGUCUUGUGACAACAUUGGUUUGCAUAUCUUAUUCUCUUUUACGCUUAGCAUCUAUUGCCUAACAACUAGUAUUGAAAUAAAUCACAUAUAUUUAGAACCACAAAAUCAAAUAUAAUUGUUAAUAGCAUUUUCUAGGUAAAUAGUUUGGCGCCCACCGCGGGGCUAGAAAUAAUAGUGAUUGUUUUGGUGCUAGGUUUCUGAAAACACAAGUUAUUCUUCACACUUUUUCUUGUCCAAGAAUCUUUGAUUUCAGGUAAAAAAAAUGCCUAACUCAGCAAAUGCACACGAAAACAAUGGUAUUAGGCUUCAUGAAGAGAAUGGUAGAGAUGCCGGUGUACCGCCACAAAACCCUGGAGUGGCACCAACACAAAUCCCCAUCGACGUGAGCUUACGUAACACUGUGCAUAUCGAUGUGAGCUCUCAUACCAAUGGAAGUGUGCGCGGGGAAAACCAAUAUGAAGCGCAAGGGACUCCAGCACGGGAGGAAAGAUAAGUUAUCCUUCAAGUCAUUUUUGAGAUGUUACAAGCACAACAAGUGGCUAUUGCUCAACUACAAAAUGAUGAAGUUUCCAACCAAGAAUGGAGCAAAAACAGUGUACGGGGAGCAGCAUGCAGCAAGAGAGAUGUUUGCAGUGCACGACGUGGCACCGACAUCGAUGCCCUCUACAUCGAAGAAGCCAAAGGACAAGCAAAUAGUCAAGUAGCAACCAUAACCUACAUUCUUGGCUGCACCCGAAUGAAUAAAUAAAGGACCGUGCCACGUCCUUAGAGCAAGCGAUUGAAACGUAUCGAGGCUCAAACUCUAUCAUUAUUAAGGUACAACCCUCUCCCUUUUCAUUUAUGUUUCAUACUAACUUAUUGCAUGUGUUCGAUUAAGAUGAAUCGAAGCACCCUCCAUCUUGAAGGCCCCGGGUUUUAAAGCAUGUGUUACGCCCUUUUUCCCUUAGAUCGGAUUUUCUCCCAAAUGGGUUUUAUCGGCUAGGUUUUUAACGAGGCAACACCUAUAUACUCCGAGGAAACAAGUAUUCAAGGCUUCUUUUCAAUCAGCCUCGAAUACUGGAGGCAUCACCCGCGGAGGUUACAAUUUUGGGAAAAACAUACUUCACGUCCAAAAGGGCCCUGAUAGGCAAACUUCGUAAUGGGCCAAACGGUCAAACAAGCCAUGUCCAUAUAGAAUAGUCGAGCCCGGGCAGCAAAACAUGUACGCAUGUAUCGACUAUUUGAAGAAACAUUCAGAAUAUAUCAAAAAUUCUUUGUGUCUCAUACAAGCUCUAUACUUACAAUCCUACGGGAAACGGCUCAAGGGCCAAAACACCCCAAAAUAUCCGGGGACUGUCACUGACAGACAACACGUCUGAGUCAUCGAAAACUCGGACCUAUAAGACCUCAAAGAGGCAUCUCCCUCGAAACAAAGGCCAAGGUCACUAUACUCGGGGACUAACUCUUCGGACAAGUUCGAAGAGUUAUCAGGAAGCAAGUCCAAGUAACAUACGCGAAGGCUACGACCAUAUUAAAGACUACGGUCAGAUAAAGGCUACGGCCAAAUAAUACGGCUCGGAGACGUCCGACUUCCGCAAAAAUAGGUUAAAUCAGGAUACCCUCGGCAAAAAGCUAAAUACAAAGGGCUUCGAUAAAUUCAGCCCUCGAAAAUUCCAAAGGCUUCGAUAACAUCGACCCUUGGAAACACCUCAAGAGGUGUUCGACUAUGUUUACACAAACGAAUUACUAAUAAGGUUCUGAUAUGUUAAACCUUCAAAAAACCCACGGGUACGAAAAAUACAUGCUAAGGCAUAAUAAAAAAUUUACUAAGUCUUUUAAGCCAAAAUGAGGGGAAAAUUAUAUAGCCAUACUAAGAGGCCGAACCGGCCCAACUUAAAAGAGCCUAAUGGACGAGAUAUAAUAGCCUAAGGGCCAACUUAAAAUAGCCUAAGGGCCAACCUUAAAAGAACCUAAAGGCCGAGAUAUAAGAGCCUAAGGGCCAAUCUAAAAGAGCCUCAGGGCCGAUCCACGGAGCCUAAGGGCCAAUAUGUUGAAAACCUAAGGGUCAACAAGCCCGAGUCAAAACUUGAUUCGAGGACCGAGCCCUUAAAUGGUCAACUACUAUCAAUUACUCAUCAAGCACAACCUAAGGGUUCUUAUCAUAAAGUCCAACAUAUCGAACUAAUUAUCGGCAAGCAUCAAAACUCAAAACAUAAACAAAUACACAAGUAAGUGGAAAUUUAUAUAAACGGAAAACCAAAGGGUUCCUUUUUUAUUAUAAAUAAUGGUACAAAGAUACAUUUUCAACACUCCCACAGGGAGCCCUAUACAAAGAAUAAGAAAUAAAAACCUAAUCUACGCUCGGGAACUUAGCCUUUCCCCCUUCGAGGACUAUGUCUAUAUCAGCUCCCUCACCGGCCUCCUCCUUGUUGUCUUCAACAUCGGAAACGAGGAAUAUGGCAUCGAACUUAUCCGCCUUGGCCUGCUCUAUCUCCUUCGAGAGAUCGAAGCCUUUACCAUGAAUCUCCUCAAGAGUUUCCCUCCGGGAUCUGCAUCAGACAUAUUCAUUACUUCUCCCCUCUCGAUUGAAAGCCCCCCCCCCCCCUAACUUUGUACGAGCUUCAGCAGCACCUUUCAGAUAGAUGGCCACCUUUUUAUUGGCCUUUGCUCGGGCCUCAUCCGCUUCGGCUCGAGAAUCCAUAACUUUGGCCUUUAUCUUCAAAAGACCUAUUUCAAGCCUAGCAAUCCUACUCGUCUAGACCGAGUUGCUUUUUUGAGCAUUAUGAAGUUGUAUCUCGAGGGCAGAAACCUUAGCCAAAGCGUUCCUUUUUGGCCACAACAUGAACAUCUAUAUGUGCCUUCAAUUCGUUGCGUUUAGAACCUACUAGCUUCGCCCCGAAGGCGUUCCAGCAUCUCUGUCUUUCUCUACAACUGAAAUACCAAAACGUUAGUUUUCGAAAAUGGGAAAAGAAGCAUGUAUUCCUUCAAAAUAGAGGUUACCUGUUUCUCGAGGUUGCCUUCGUAAUCAUGACUUUUGUUCAACUCCGAUCGAAGAUGUAUCAGCUCUCUUGUCUUCUUAUCACAAAGAAGCCUGGGAGAUUUUUCCCCAUUCAAGGCUUUACGCAACUUAGCCUCACAGCAAAGUAGCUCAGACUUGAGCUUAUCGAAGGCCUAUGAGAAAGAUGGUUCAGUUAAAAAGAAGAAAGUAUGAAGUUAGAAAAGUUACAAUGACUUCAAAACUCACCACAGAGUAGAGUCGUUGAGCUUCCUCGAAGGUCAAUUUCGUAUCUACUGACCCGGUCUCAUCGACCUUGAUAGAGCAACCGGAGGCGCUCUGAUUGGGCGGAGAUACGUCGAAGCCCAUUUCCCUCAGAGUACUUCCCGACGUCUGAGAACCAGCUUCCAAAUUAGGUAAUGAAGGACCUUUGCCCCUUCUCUCUUGUGGAAUCUCUCCCUUGAGACUAAGGGCCUCGAGCCCAGUAGGCUCAAGAUUCUCGGGAGGCCUCCUGGUUCGAGCCAUAAAUGUAGAAUCAUCCUCUCCGGGUGCAUUGAUGUCCUCAGAACAACCGAUAAAUAUGAGAUCUUCGCCAGCGGCAACGUCCUCCUCGCGUCCCCGGGCAGGUCCUGCUUUGCUAUGGUAAUUAUCGUCCUUCGGGGAUCUUUUUCUUUUAUUAUCCUUCCUUUUCUCAGAAAUUGAAUACCCUUCCUCCUCCUCAAAAGGGGACGAUCUUGCCUCAAAAAACUCACUGAUGCCUACAACAAAGAAAUUAGUGUACGUAAAGGAAAGUACUCCUCGAGAGAAGGACUGCAUAGCACGUACCAUGGUGCUUAGCCUCCCAUUUGCCCUUCAACUAAACUCUCCACUUGCGCUCGUCAUAAGUCAAAGAGGCCGCCAGUUUAUGGGCUUAUUCUCAAGAUCGAGUACCUCAUCUGGCAUCCACGGGAUCGCAGCGGAAAAGGAAAGAAAAUGUUCUUACGGAAUCUAGCUCCAUCGAGAACAAAAAAUAAUAGAGUACAGUAUAUCACUUACGCUUGAAAUUCUAUUUCUCGGGCAACGGUAGUAACUCCACAGGAAUAAUAUCAACAUCCCUCACUCGAAUAAACCGACUCAUCCACCCUUGAUCCUGUCCUCGUCAUCACUAGCAAUAAAGGGCUUGGUGGAUCAAAGUCGUAGUGUAAUUAGACCUCGAUGAUGAAAAGGCCGGUACAAUCUAAUGAGGUGGCUAAGAGUGAACUCAAGCUCGGCCUUUUCAGCAAAUAAAUCUCAUCAUCAACACGAUCUACCAGAAAGACAGAUGGAUCUGAGCCAAAGUAACUCAAUAUAUUCUACAAAAUUCAAGAACGAGUCGGUCGAGAGGACCCAACGUAAAAAGGUACGUGUACACAUUCAGAAACCCCUCUACGUGGGCCAUAAUAUCCUCUUCCCGGGAGGGUAUCUGCAGCCUCACCUUUUCUCCCCAUCUGCAGUAUCUCCUCACGGCCUCGAGGAUCUAUCUUCUAUUGAUCGAAUAAACCUCGAUGCAUGUUCUUGAUGGCCCGGAAUGUUGAGAGGUCUCUCUAUUAUAAAAUCUCCCAUCGUGAUGAAGCAGUUCGAAGUUAGCUCACCAACCACCGGCGGUAUACCACUGGCCGGACGGGAAGCAGAGGUGGGACUUCCCUCUUUCUAGCGAGCGAAUUUGGCCAUUGUAGCCAUAAUUCCUUCAAAACAAGAAAGGGAAGAUGAAAACUCAGGCGAAAUCUUUGGUCUGAUGCGGCACUAGAACUAGCGCAAAAAAAGAAACUCUAUAGAGAAAGGUAGUUGCACAAAGCGGCAAAGCCCUCAAUGAAAGGAAAGCAAGUAUAUGUAAGAAGAGAUGCGCUAUUCAUUAACUUUGAUAGCUAAUCAGCUCUGACAAAGCAAUUAUGACUUUUUGGGAAAAUGUACUGAUGGGGCCAUUUCGAUCACUUUAUGGUCAUGUCACAGGAAUGAUGUCACCAUACAAUGUUCGAAGGAUCAAGAAGUCAAAUUGAUUCCUUGCCAACCCGACCUAGAGAAGGUAUGCAAUUGAAAUAAGAACAACCCGAUCUCAAGGGUCUCUGUUACUCCAAGACAGAACUCGAAGGAGUUAAAUUCUAUUUCGAAGCUUGAAUUUGGCAUGAACACUAAAAGGCAAAACUUUGAAAACAUUAAACAAGAAAAUCCUUUGUAUUCCAAAAAUAUAAUUAAAAAGGUGAAUUUACAAAACUCCCACGCGGAGUCCACAUACAAAAGAAGAAGAAGUAAAAAUAGAAAAGGUGACCUAUUCUUCAUCUUCACCACUCCCCGAGCUACUUGCAGAGCCCUCGUCCGAAGUAGUUAGAUCUGUUGACUCCUCCUCCAAGGCCUUCGCUUCAAUCUCGGUAGAGAGAUCGAAACCCUUGGCAUGCACUUCCUCAAAGGCCUGCCUCCGAGCUUCUAAUCGAGCAUGUGCAAUGGCGCGAGCCAGUUUGAGCUCGGACUCUUGAGAUAUCUCCUUGGCUCAAGUAUUCGUUGUAGUAGCAACUUCCCGAAAUGACAAUAUGAGUGCAUCAGCUUCAGACUUGGCCGUGGAUAACGCGACAGCUAACUCAGCAUGAAGCGUCUUGAAUUUGUGAGCUUUCUCUUUAGAACCUUGAAGAAGACCCUGAGUUGAGGCCAGAUCCUCUCGGAGAGUAUCCUUUUCCGAGGCCAUGCUAUCCUUGUGCCGCUUCAGCUCAAGGAUUUCGGCAUCUUUGGCAGCAAUCUCUUCCCGAAGCUGCCCCGCUAGGGCAUUUUUUCGCUCAAUCUACAAAUGCCGAGUCAAGGUAAUAAACACCAAGUUAUGAAAACAAAAGGUAAGCUCAUAAAUACCAAACUACCUGCUCGAUGAAGUUGGGCUGCUCUUGGAGCACUUUCUACGAGCUUGCUCGAAGGUUGUUCAAUUCCUCCUCCCUUUGGAUGUAUAGAGUCUUUAGCUUAUUUGAAUCUGAAGUGAGCUUCUCGAACUCCUCCGCACAAUGAGUCAGUUCAGCUUAAAACUUGGAGAAGGCCUGGUCGUACAGCAUCGCGACCUAUAGUACGAGGGGAAGAAGUUAGAAAAACAAAGAUCAAAACUCAAGUCACAAAGGUUAUGUCAAAAAUCACAUGUUGUUGGAGUUUUGCAGCCUCCUCGAGAAUGACUGGGGCAUCGAUAUCAGCAUCCUCUCCAACACCGGCAAAAAAUCUCUAAAUGCAUCAUCCUCUCCCUGUGAAUCCCCUACAUCGGAAGUCUCUCUGUUCUGGGCAUCUCGUAUUUGCCCUAGGGAAAACGACGGGGUUGGUUGAAGAUCACCUAUGGCAUCAACCUCUAUCGGGGCUUCCUCUCGCCCUCAAAGGGCCUCAGAGCUAGAUUCUCUGAAUGCACCAACCAAGUACUCAUCGGCACAAGUUGUAUCCUGUUCAAUGGUCAGCUCAGGGACUGUAUCCAAACCCUCCUCAAUAUGAGGUGGGACCGCAUUGGCUAUCUCUAGCCCGGUAACCUUCAAAACAUCAGUGUUUUAUAUUGCCCUAUGUACUAGUGGGCAACCGUCAUCAUCUUUGUCUUCAGGACGAAGACUCUCAGUAGCUGCCAAAGUUAGGACCGUUGCAUUGGCCCUAGGCUUUCGAGCCUUAGCUCUCUUUGGUUUUGGGGACUCCGUCAGUGUCUCUUUUUUCUCUUUCUAUCUUUGGUGGGUUUUUGGGUCUCCUUUUUCCUAGAAGAAGGCGGUCUCAUUGAAACGGCUUCCCCGAGGCCUGUACAAGCAUAAAAUGUCAAACAUACUGCCAAAAAAUCUAUUUAUAAGGAAUUUAAAAGUGAUAGUGGUGAGGGUGUACCGUGAUUUUUGGCCUCCCAUCGAGUUUUGGCCAAAUCAUGCCAAACGCGCUUGUCGUAUGAGGAGGUGGAGUCUAAAAUUCUAACCCAUCCUGGGAGGUCCUUGAUUGCGUUGGGGAACCACACGGUGGCUAUGCAACCGGAGGAGAAUCAAUUCAAAAAAGAAAGGAAUUAGUUAGAAAGAGGAAAAGAGGACAUCUAGAUGAUAAAACAUGCUCGGUGUAACGACACUUAUGCCUCAUAUUCCAUUCCUCAAUGAAUGGCAUUUUCACGGCAGGGAUGAGGUCCGAAGUCCCGACUCAAACGAAGCGGCGCAUCCACCCCCGGUCUUUAUCUUCUUCGAUACUAGCAAAAAAUGCUUUGGUAGAUCGAUGACGUAGUUUGACUAGGCCCGCUCGAUAGAGACGAGGGCUAUACAAUCUAAUCAGAUGAUCGAGGGUGAAAGGCAUCCCCUCGACCAUGUUUGAAAAAUAUCUAAUCAAAUAGACGAUUCUCCAAAAAGAGGGAUAAAUUUGACCAAGCGUCACUCGAUAUUUUUGACAAAAAUCGAGGAUCAAGGGGUCUAUCGAUGGAGAAGAAGAAUCUACGGGACCUAAGGUAAAGGGAUACGUAUAUACGCUGAGGAAACCAGCCCUAUGUGUAGUUAUAUCCUCUUCCGAUGAAGGGAUAUCUACUUGAACCCCCUCUCCCUAAUGGCAAUCUAUUUUCACCUUCUUUGUGUCGGUUAUUAGACUAAUGUACCGAUACAUGGGCUUGCAUCAUCCCGGUACCGAAGAAGGUCUAUUAAUUUUGAAAUCGAAGGAUGUCUUGAGGGGCCCAGAAAUACACUCCUCAAUACGAGGAGGCGCUAUCUUUUUGCUCUUAGACGAGCGUGACGAAUAAGGGGCUUCCUCUUUUUGAGGUAUUGUCUUAGCAGUUUUGGCCAUGGUUAUAACAAAGUUUCAAGGUAAGCUGACGAAGAAGUGAACACAGAAGAAGGAUGAAGACAGGGAACUGUUAACAAAGAUUUGAAGAUUUGAAGAUGUUGUAAAGGUUUAAAAGAUAGAGAAUUGGAGUAUUUAUAAGAUUCAUCCAAGUGUAUUGGAGGAGUUGAAAUAACGACCAAUAGCGGUUCGUGGGCUUUUCGAGAACCGUGUUGACAAGACUUGUGAUGACCUUUUGGGUCAUCACUUAUUUUAGAAAUAAAUUUUGUAUUCUGAGGCCUUAAAAACCUCUUUUUAUCUCAACUCAAUUUGCGUGCGCAGUCCGGUCAUGUAUCUGGAAAGCCAUUCUGUGAAAAUCUGUAAAAACAAAUGAUAAAUUUUGCUUUUAAAAUGAAUUUAAGUUGACUUUGGUCAAUAUUCUUGGUAAACGGACCCGGACCUGUGAUUCGACAAUCUCGUAGGGUCCGUAGUAAAAUUUGGGACUUGGGCAUAUGCCCAGAAUCGAAUUCCGAGGUCCCAAGCCCAAGAAAUAAAUUCUUAAAGAAAAUUAUUUUCUGGAAUAUAUAAGAGUUUUUGGAAAUGAAAUAUGUUUGAAAUUGAUGGUAUCGGGCCCGUAUUUUGGUUCCAGAGCCCGAUACAAGUUUUAAAUAAUAAUUAGGUUGAAUCUAUAAAAUUUGGUAAAGAUCGGAAUUGGUUUGGUAUAAAACAGACUUAAAGUUGAGAAAUUGGAAAUUUUACUUAAAGUUUAGAAAUUGGAAAUUUUGGUGUUCUUGAAUGAUCUCAUGAAUUUGGGGUUUAAUUCAUAGUUGUUGAUGUUAUUUUGAUGAUUUAAUUAUACAAGCAAGUCCGUAUGAUAUUUUUUAGGUUGGUGUGCAUGUUUGGUUUGGAGCCUCGAGGGCUCGAGUGAGUUUUGGAUAGGCCACGGAGUGGGAUUGAACCUAGGAAGUUGUAGGUUUCAGCUGGUAUGUGUUGUAGGCCCUAGUCUCGCAAUUGCAUGGUCAGGUGUCGCAAUUACGAGCCUGGCAGGCUUGGGAAUUGCGAGGGUCACUUCACAAUUGCGAAGUAUGACCUGGCCAGCCUUUCUCGCAAUUGCGAGCAAUUCUUUGCAAAUGCGAAUAACCCAGAUAUCUCCUUCGCAAAUGUGAGUUCGCAAUUGCAAACAUCUGAUCACAAAUGCGAAGAUAGCAAGUUCCUUAAGGGUUCGCAAUUGCGAACCCUGGUUGCAAUUGCGACAUCUGCAACCUGCUAAAUCAUAACUUAAACGCAUUUUCAGCCCUUUUUCAAACCUUUUCAAAACCUAAACACCUUUGGGUGAUUUUCAAAUACAAGUACUCAUCCAAAUCGAUUGUAAGUCAUUUCUAACUCGUUUUCAUUAAUCUUUAACAUCUUUUUCACAUGAUUUCAACUCAAAAUCAAGGGUUUUCAUGGUGGAAAUUGGGUGUUUUGGGUAGAACUUAGGUUUUUCAAAUUUUGGGGAUUUGGACCUCGAUUUGAGGUCCGAUUUCAAAACAAAUUAUAUAUUUGGGUUCGUGGGUGAAUGGAUAAUCAGGUUUUGGUUCGAACCUUGGGUUUUGACCAUGUGGGCCCGGUGUCGAUUUUUGACUUUUUGGAGAAAUCAUUGGAAAACUUAUUUUCAUGUAUUGGAAUUGAUUCAUUUAGCAUUUAUUGAUAUAGUUAAGUAACUUGUGGCUAGAUACAAAUGAAUUGGUGGUGGAAACGAGAGGUAAAGCGGUAGUUGAGGCUUGAAUUGUGUUCGUGGCAUCGAGGUAAGUGUUUGGUCUAACCUUAGCCUGAGGGAUUAGGAGUUGUGUCUUAUUUGCUAUAUGUUAAUUGUGGAGUACGAUGUAUAGGCAUGGUGAUGAGUAUCUAUACGUCAGUGUCAAGCAUGCCUGUGGGUCUAGUGUUGUAAUUGUUGUGACUCCGUUGAGAUUUAUUCAUGCUUAAUAAAUUGAUUAUCAUUGUUGGUUCCCUUGCCGGGAUGCUAUUGUUUAUGAUAUUGUCUCCCUUGCCGGGAUGUUAUUGUUUAUGAUAUUGUCUUCCUUGCCGGGAUGUUAUUGUUAUGACAUUGUCUCCCUUGCCAGGAUGUUAAUGUUUACGAUAUUGUCUCCCUUGCUGGGAUGUUGUUGUUAUACUCUUGUUCCCUUACCGGGAUUUUUUUGUGAUUGAUGUUGAUUUGUAAAUGGGAUCGGGUUGCACGCCUUUAACAAGAUAUAUGAAAUGGGAGUGGGUGGCAUGCCGCCACAGAGAUAUUUGAAAUGGGAUCGGGUCGCACGCCUACAACAAGAUAUAUGAAAUGGGAGCGGGUGGCACGCCACCACGGUGAUAUUUGAAAUGGGAUUGAGUUGCACGCCUGCAACAAGAUAUAUGAAAUGGGAUCGGGUUGAACGUCUGCAACAAGAUAUAUAAAAUGGGAUCGGGUGGCACGCCACCACGGUAAUAUUUGAAAUGGGAUCGGGUUGCACGCCUGCAACAAGAAAGAGAUGAAAGUGAAUAUCAUGUUUAUUCUUCUUAUUCUUGUUAGCAAUUGAAUUUUGGUUUCUUCACAUUCCUCUUUGGUAUUCUGUUGUUAUCUGAUACUCCCCGCAGCAUGCUUUUCUCCUCCCAUCUUUAACUGUAAAUAUCUGCUUUUAUUUUUUCGUUGUAUAUGAUAUAAUUGCACUGGUUUAUUUGGUAGUCUGGUCCUAGCCUCGUCACUACUUCGCCGAGGUUAGGCUAGGCACUUACCAGCACAUGGGGUUGGUUGCGUUGAUACUACACUCUGCACUGUGUGCAGAUCCCGGUGCUACAACUUUUGGACCGCAGUGAGGGUGCUGUCUUCAGUCCAUUCAGGCGACCCGAGGUAGUCCUGCAGGUGUCCGGGGCCCUGGCAUCUCCUCCUAUCUUUCUAUACUAUUUCUUCUAUGUAUUUCUGAAACAACUUGUAUUUAUCUUUCGGACCCUUAUUUGUAGUACUUUUAGACAGUCUGUAAAAGUGUGACACCAGAUCUGGGUAGCUUUUUAGUUUAUGGAAUUGUAUUGAUACUAAUAUUGAACUGUUACAUUUUGUCUCUUUCGCUUAUUUAAUUCCGCUGCUUAUAUGAUGUUUGUUCACCAUUGUUAAAGGAUUAAAAUAUAUAAAAAAGGUUAAGUAGUUGGAACAAUUGGCUUUCCUAUCCUUCAUUAGUAGGCGUCAUCAGGACCCCUGAGAGUGGGAAAUCCAGGUCGUGACAAGACCUCUGUACAACUUUUCUAUCACAUCAUUUAAUGAUCUCACGUGGCUGACAUCAUAAUGGGGGUAUCGAAGAGGCAAGAACUUAAGAUCGUUUCUUAUCAUUUCAUUCUAAGAAACGCGGGAACUAUCUGUAUACGGCCAAAAUUGGGGAGUUCGAUUUUGGGGAUACUAUGGCACUCCACACCCGUCCUCAAGAAGCUCGAAGCUGAAUUUGAAGUGUGACCCCGAGGUGCGUCUCUCGAGGGAGCAUAUCAAAAGUUCACUGUGGUCAGUCUCGGAGCAGUACAAAUCGAUGAUCGUCAUGGAGAGGCAGAAAAGUUCCCAAGGAUACGUGGUUAGAGCUGACCAGGUCUGCAAGAAUAGUACAAAUCUGUAUUGAGCCAUUAUACAGAUGUACCAAUAGCAUUUUCUCGUUAUUAUUAAACAUGUACUAUAUUAGGAUUCCCCCUUUCUAUAUAAAGGGGACUCUUGUCAUUUUAUAGAAAGGGAUGAAUAUUGAAUAGAAUAGAACAUUCUCUGCUUUUCUUGCCUAAACGUGCUCAACAAUUACUCUACAGAUUUAUUGCCUGUUCUAGUAUUGUUCAUUUAUUGUUCUUAAUUUAUUGCCCAUUAUUAAGCGCAAAAAGCAUCCUCGAGGCCUUUGAUAUCUUUGUUUCUUCAUCAAUUGUUCAUUGUUAACUGCCCUAACUAGCCCCCAAGGCCCCCCUGUUCCAGCCAGCUCGAGGCCCAGUCUUGUGACGAGCAUUGAUUUGCAUAUCUUAUUCUCUUUUACGCNNNNNNNNNNNNNNNNNNNNNNNNNNNNNNNNNNNNNNNNNNNNNNNNNNNNNNNNNNNNNNNNNNNNNNNNNNNNNNNNNNNNNNNNNNNNNNNNNNNNNNNNNNNNNNNNNNNNNNNNNNNNNNNNNNNNNNNNNNNNNNNNNNNNNNNNNNNNNNNNNNNNNNNNNNNNNNNNNNNNNNNNNNNNNNNNNNNNNNNNNNNNNNNNNNNNNNNNNNNNNNNNNNNNNNNNNNNNNNNNNNNNNNNNNNNNNNNNNNNNNNNNNNNNNNNNNNNNNNNNNNNNNNNNNNNNNNNNNNNNNNNNNNNNNNNNNNNNNNNNNNNNNNNNNNNNNNNNNNNNNNNNNNNNNNNNNNNNNNNNNNNNNNNNNNNNNNNNNNNNNNNNNNNNNNNNNNNNNNNNNNNNNNNNNNNNNNNNNNNNNNNNNNNNNNNNNNNNNNNNNNNNNNNNNNNNNNNNNNNNNNNNNNNNNNNNNNNNNNNNNNNNNNNNNNNNNNNNNNNNNNNNNNNNNNNNNNNNNNNNNNNNNNNNNNNNNNNNNNNNNNNNNNNNNNNNNNNNNNNNNNNNNNNNNNNNNNNNNNNNNNNNNNNNNNNNNNNNNNNNNNNNNNNNNNNNNNNNNNNNNNNNNNNNNNNNNNNNNNNNNNNNNNNNNNNNNNNNNNNNNNNNNNNNNNNNNNNNNNNNNNNNNNNNNNNNNNNNNNNNNNNNNNNNNNNNNNNNNNNNNNNNNNNNNNNNNNNNNNNNNNNNNNNNNNNNNNNNNNNNNNNNNNNNNNNNNNNNNNNNNNNNNNNNNNNNNNNNNNNNNNNNNNNNNNNNNNNNNNNNNNNNNNNNNNNNNNNNNNNNNNNNNNNNNNNNNNNNNNNNNNNNNNNNNNNNNNNNNNNNNNNNNNNNNNNNNNNNNNNNNNNNNNNNNNNNNNNNNNNNNNNNNNNNNNNNNNNNNNNNNNNNNNNNNNNNNNNNNNNNNNNNNNNNNNNNNNNNNNNNNNNNNNNNNNNNNNNNNNNNNNNNNNNNNNNNNNNNNNNNNNNNNNNNNNNNNAUAGGAAAGUGACUUCUAAGGCCUACAAAUGGGAUGCAGCUUUACCUUGAGUGACUGUCUGGUAUCCACUAAGUACCUCUCAGGACUCCGUUGGUACCAACAUUAAAAUUUGCACAAGAAGUACAAAAGCGUAGUUUGAGUACAACCGACCCAAUAUACUAAGUAAGUGUCGAGCUUAACCCCGAUGAGGUAGUGACCAGGAAAAUACAGAAAAAACAUGUAAGGUAUCAAAAGAAAUAACAUGGUAGGGACUUAUAAAAGAGGAAACAAUCGGAACAAUAAGUAAAGAAUCACCAAGUCUUUUUCCGAAAUAAGCAAUGAAACUGCCAAGUUAAAUUCACAAUCCAAGUAUCAAGUAAAACAAUCAAGCCAACAAAAUGUACGGCAUCACCCUUCAUGCUAAUACUCUCAUCCUCUCCAUAUAACAUAAAUAAAGCAUGUGCACGGUAUCACCCUUCGUGCUUUUACUCUCAUCCUCACAUGAUAAUGAUAAUAGCAAGCAAGUGCACGAUAUUACCUUUCGUGCUUUUACUCUUUUCCUCACAAGAUAAUAUAAAUGCAAUUGCACGGCAUCACCCUUCAUGCUUUUCACUCUUCCUCACCAAGCAAUUACAACAAUGGAAGCAAUCCAAUUCCAAUAACGACAUUUGAAUACGACUCAUAUAUAAGGUUCUUUCAACAUUUAGUGCCAACAAACAACCAGCAACUUCCACAUUCUCAUCACCCAAGGACACAACAAUCUUAAUAUAAAAAAUAAUAUGAAAGCGGAAAAUCAAGUAAUUAACAAACUAUUUAUGCAUGGGAGACAUAUUUUACGAAAUAACAUGGUGCAAGUAAGAAAACUUUUACCCGCAUGUUUAACCCAUGACCCGUGCAUAUACACCGGCCAAAUUGCAUAUACUCCGCCCCCAACACAUAAUUCACAUAGCAAUUAGACUCAAUUCUACCUUAUUUCCUUCGAAUAAAAGUUAACCAAGACACUUACCUAUUUUCACAAUCAAAUCAACAAUCAAGCACGGCUUUGCCUUUCGAACAAGUCUCCAAACCAAUUACCAAUCAAACAAUUCAAAACAAGCUUUAAAAACAACCCAUAAAUGAAAAAUAUUCAAUUGAUCAUUUUUUAAAAUGUCAACAAAAGUCAAUCAGGGCCCGCUUGGUCGAAAUUCGAGAUUCGGACCAAAACUUGAUCGAUCACCCAUUCACCCCCGAGCCCAAAUGUGUGAUUUGCUUUGAAAUCCUACCCAAUUUGAGGUCUAAAUCUCAAUUUAUAAAAUUUCUAAAUUCCACCCAAACCCCUAAUUUCUACCUUGAAAUUCAAAGAUUUGAUGCUAGAAAUUCAUGAAAAGUAAUUAAAAUUAACUGAAAACUAGUUAAGGAUGCUUACCAAUGAAUUUGGAAAGAAAAAGUUCUUCAAAAAUCGCCUCUAGAGAGCUUAGAGUUAAAAGAAUAGUGUAAAAUGAGCUAAGUCCCGAUUCUUUCAAACUUUUACCUGGCUGCAGAUAUUGCAAUUACGAACCCUUGUUCGUAAUUGUGAUGUCCACAAAUGCAAAACUGUGAAGUCGCAAAUGCUACAUAUACCUCACAUUUGCGAAGUCUUCAUAUCGCAAAUGUGGUGCAUACUUCGCAAAUGCUAAGUUGUUCUCACCAACCACUAUGUCGCAAAUGCGAUCCCAUACAGGUUCGCAAAAGCAAACUCUACUUUGCAAAUGCGAAGUGCCAGCCCCAGCCCAUGUUCGCAUUUGCGAGCCUGACAUCGUAAAUGCGAGACUUGCAACUUCACACCAGCAAUUUCAUAGCUUCAACACUUCCAAACCAUUGCACAAUGCAUUCGAAACUCACCCGAUCCCCUCGGGCUCCAAACCGAACAUGUACACAAGCAUAAUAACAUCCUACAAACAUGUCUGAUACAUCAAAUCAUCAAGAUAACAUCAAAUAACAAGAAUCGAUCAUCAAAACUCAAGAAUUUCGACUUGAAACUCAAUUUUCAUAAUCUUUCACAUAAUACACCGAAAUGCACUCGGGUCACCCCGGACCCCAACCAAACAUGCGUACAAGUUUAAAUUUUCAUACAAACCUACCGGAAUCAUCAAAAUACCGAUCCAAUGUCGUUUACCAUAAUUAUUGACUGUGGUCACCUCUAGCAUCAUUUUAAGUCAAAAAAUUUAAUUUUUUUCAAAAUCUCAUAUAAAGCUUUCUGAAAAGCCACAUGGAUCACGCACACAAAUUAAUAAACAUCAAAUGAAGUUAUGGGAGGUCUCGAAAUACAAAAAUUAAGGCUAACACUCAAAACGACGUAUCAGGUCAUCACACUCUUUAGCAUCCACUCUCAUUACAUAUUAUAUACUCAUACCUCUCUAAUUUUAUUGGAGUUAUAACUGUAAUAAUUAUUAUGAAAAAUAAUAUAACAAAAUAAAUCGUUAAUAGUAAAUGGUUUCCAAAGAAGCGUGCCAAAUUAAUAAAGGACGAGUAAAAGAGAACCAAAAAAGUAUUUGAAUAAAAAGUCAAUCAUGAGCUGAUGAUAUGAUGCUCAAUGGACGAGUCAAAUUAAGGAAUCCUCCAGAGUAGAAAGAGCCAGCCACGAAUCUCCCCUUCUAGAAAACAAAUUGCCCCCUCCUACGACUCAAUUUACAAUUCCAAACUGUUGAGGUGGCUUAACUCUCUUAUCAUACUUACCCACCAGUCUUAUUGUAGGGUGACACAUAAUCCCCUACUUCACAACUUUCUCGCCAUAUGGUCAAUUAGCAAUCACAAGAAUCUCACAACAAUCUUCAACUCAUGCAAUUGCUUUUUGUUUUUGUAAAAAAUUAUUAUUAUAUAAGUUUAAUGUUUAUGUAUUGGAAGAAAAAGUUUAUACAAUCAAAUAAUUACAAAUAAAUUUUUUGAUAAAAUGUUAAUUGAUAAUAUGAUAAAAAAUUUAAUUAACUUGCUAGUAUUAAAUACGGUGAUAGUAGUAACAAAUGGUUUUAUGUAACUCAAAUAAUAUUAAAUCUUUCAAAUGGCAAGUACCCUGUAAUAGCACCUUUUUCAUGGAAAAGGAAAUAGUAAUAGCAAUUUCGAAAAAAACAAAGCUCAUGAACAAGCCAUCAACCACGUCGUCACUCUCAUCAUUCUUUUUCCAAAUAUAAAUACAAGUCCAUACUUUUACAACUUCCCAGGAAGCAACAAGGAGAAGAAGAGAGGAAACAUAGGUGUUGGUUUCCAAAUAUGAAGUCAAGGCAACAAGAAAUGGAGCAGAAAAAGGGAAACAACAAGAAAGAAGAUGGGGUUUUAGUCCAUAGCCAAGUAAGAAAGAUAAAGCAAGAAACGGAGAAAAUGAAGGAUCACCCAUCUCUGCAACUGCAACAGGCGGAGAAGAAGACGGCACUUGGCGAGAUCACUGGAAAACAACAGCACCAUAGAUCACCUUUAGGCUUAGCUCUUAGAAACUGAUAACUUCUAGAGCUUCAUGUUUUUGGGAUUUUUUUCUUCUCGUUCUUCUUUAGUAGAAUAAAUCUAUAGUAGCAUCGCUAGUCUUUCUAGGUUCAAUCACACUCUACUGCCCCCCAGAUCCCCUGUAUAAUUGCAAAAACAAAAUCCUACUUCUUUCCUUUAGUUUUACUUUUAUUUUCUUGUAAGAAAAUU